rnacentral:lncRNA from 1 species
AAUGGGAAACAGUCGUAGGCAGUCUAAGAAGAGGUCUACAAAACCGACUCAGAGUUUGAUUAGAAACUGCCAAUGGUGCGUCUGGAUUUAACCUUAGCUAUUGGUUGCAACUCUAUGUCAUUGAAUGUACUAUUGCGGGGUUCAUGCGUAUCAAUCGAAUGGUGGUAAUCUUCCUCGACUGAUGUUAUUGUGUUUGUAUCUGUCAUUAUGAUUGAGCAUGUUUCUGUGUCUACGGUUGACCUAUCAGUGAAACGCGCUAGCCUUCUCCUUCUCCUCCUCCUUGCCUCCUUACCCCAUCCAUGAAUUGUGUUCCUUAUCCCCUGCGGAAGUAGGGCCGCCUUAAAGUUUGUUCCCAUCUGAAAGGAGAGUUGCUAUUGGCAUUAAACGCACAAAAAAGAAGCAGCUAAAUCACUGGAAAAUGUUAUAACUCAUGGCUGAAGUUUGAUCAUGUAAAUGAACAAUUAUAAUACCUGAGUGACCAGAGCAUAGAGUGGCAAAGUGAUGUAGCUACAUAUAAACUGCGCAAUAAACCUACAAGAUACGGACGGUAAUUUAAGGACAGAAAAUAGAUGAAAUUUUUACUAUGAAACCAAGACUAGCAAAAACAUAUUCAUACCCCAUAAUAACUCGUAUGAAAACAAGCGUAUGGUUGCUGAUUAAGCAUGAAUUAUAGCCAAACUCCCACUGCAAACAUAUCAACAGACUGUAAUUACAGUGCCAAGAUCCUAUCCUAUAUAUCCUUACCUAUCAUAUCAGAUUUUGAUUCUUAUGUUUAUAAUUCAUGGUUCUAUUUUGAAGGCCUUUUUACUAUGUGAAAUUACAGAAAGCAAUGGAGAAUGGUACAUUCUAUCAGCCUCAACAGUAUUAUUAGAUAUCAGUCCAGUCGGGGAAGAGAAAGUACCCAGACCCAGAAAAAUGAAGCCAGUUCGAAUGCAUUCUGCAGAGAAAUGACAACAAAAACAUUAGUUCGACGAAACAGUAAGUGUAAUAACUAGGCAGGCAAAUGGUGUCUGAAAUGUGUAUAUUGACUGCAUUGCUUUAAACAACAAACCUGGAAUAAAAUGAAAUGGAUAAGGGACAACAGCCAUUCUGGCUUCUUAAACCAGAAAAGUUCAUCCCGAGGCGUCAGCUUUGUUCCAGUAAAAUAGCCCGUUAUCCCAGCACUCUCCAGUGUCAAGGUUGCCAUGACAUUCUGCAACUUUGCUCCCACGAGAAGAACAAACUGCAUACGAAGUUACAAACAUGCGAUAUCAGAAUAACAUGAAAGAUUAACUCUUAUGUUUGUCCUUCAAGCGUUCAUUUUCCGGGUUGUAUGCAAGCACCAAUAAAAAUUAUAGUCAAAGGAAUCAAAACAAAUACCAGACGAGAAAAAGGGCGAAAGACUUACAGUUAUGGGAAUGAUAGCUAUCCAGAAGUAAAGAUUAGAGCCUGUAAAAAGGGAAAAUAGCCAAGGAAUCGUGAAUGUGAAUUGGCAGAACAGCUUAUAAUACGAACGCGCACCAUUCGAAAGUUCAGACAGGCAACAUGAUGAGAACAGUCAUUCCUACAUAAUCCUUUGUGCCUUAAACAAGCAGCAAAAAUGGCUAACUUGAGGGGCAAGAAAUCUAUUACUCUUGAUAAAAGUACAGCCAAGCAGCACAAAUAUGAUUGAUUUGAUCUCAAUCUUGCAAUGUGCAAUACCUUUCACAUUGAAUAGUAUGAAGAUAACAACAAAUCCCCACAACGUAAAGCUGCAAGAAAUUAAACCAACAGAUCAUUAGCAGCCAACAAUGACAGGCUUCAUUGAUCAUAUGACUGAAAAUAAUCAGAGAACAUUUCUACGAAAACAUUACUUGCCUAACGCCAACUAUCUUUUGAAAUUCUUCCUCCAUAGAACGAAUCAUAUAGCUAUGAAAAUCAUACUUCAGCAUCAAGUUGUGAUUCUGCCAUAAAUAGGGAAAAAGCAAAGGCAUAAACAUUCAUAAGCUGUUAUCGUUCCAUUGUGAAUGUUUGGCAUCAAGAGAUUUUCACCAUUUAAAUUAAAAAGUACCAUGAUGAACCCUUUGCGGAGCGUCAAAUAGUCUGCACGAACGACUGAACACCCAAAUUGCCGAAAGAAACAUAUCUGCAGGCAGAAAAAUAAAGAAUCUAUAACAGAAAAAAAUUCAUCAUUCUCAAGUGUAAGUGAAGUUGUUUAAAGCAAUUAAUGCCCUUCAAAGAUCUUACAUUAAGAGAAAAAAAAAGCACAUAGUUGAAGGAACUGCUUAUUCAAAGAGUAAGAAUGACAACUUCAGCAGCAAGAAGAAAUGUUCUGUACCUACCACCCAGAUAACAACUCGAUUUUGCGUCAAGGGAUUCGCUCUGUGGUUUACGAUGAAAGCCAUUUGUCUUUCCAUUAACGACUGUCUAUCUUGUCCUGCAACAAAUAAACUAUAAUCGUCAUAUAGUAUCUUGAAAUUUUUUGAAACAUCGUCUGCAUAACUUUGAUCACAGGUUUUGUGCAACAUCAAACUAUUAUCUGAAACUACUGAAAAUAUACUGUUUGGAUUUACCAGUUAAGAAACCAAAUUGGUCCUUAUGAGCUUCAUUCUCCCAUGCUCUCCAGCUACGAAUCUACCAAAUAGUUAUUCGAAAUGUGAGAAAAAAAUAGCAACUUAGAACUGUUAAUGCUUUUAUAAGAAGUAGAGUUGUUUUACAAACGACCAACCUUCACAAUUGCAAGUAACAUUGUUAAGCAACUGUAAGCUACAUGUGUGAUUGCCAUUAAAAAGAUGAAGCGAUGCAACCCCUCGAGAGCUUCAUACGAAACAAAUGGUUCAUGAUCCUGCAGAACAGAAUAAUUUAGUAUGGUGUAGAGAAACAUGCAAAGGGAAAAUAUGGAUUAGUUACAUGCCUCUUUGCAGGAAAUGUUAUUCAUGCCUUUCAAAAUCCUCGGAAAUGAGCGAGAAGCGGAAGCAAUCGAAAGCUGAAGCUCCUUGGAAGAAUCAUGUUCAUUUUCUUCAACAAUGUCAGACCAGGAGCAUGGUGCAAAGGAACUAUCAUCAUAGAACUUUGAUGGAAUACAAAUAUUAGCUAUUGACCUUGAGGUUGCUGUUAGAAGGAGCGACAUAAAUCCGAGCAUCAUUAGCUCUGAAGGAAAAAAAAAAUUAAUGGUGAAUAUGAAUAUGGCACUCAAAAUCAUAAUCAGGAAAUAACAUUUUCACACCAUACCUUCUUUCAUCUUCUCCAAAGCUGCAAGCAGAGAUUUUUUAUCAGUUCUCCUUAACCACUGCAACAAAAAUUAUUAAGUACAUAAGAUGAGUCUGAUGAAUUUGUUUGUAAACAAAAGCUACACAAACAUGAUUGAAAAAAGCUGAAAACAGGGAAACUGACGUUGGUUAGUUGGUGAAUAGAGCGCUCCACAAUCAAAGAAACUGCAAUAAAAACUGACAACACAGUAGCAAGAGCCCAUGUUGGGGUUAUGGCCACUGAUCUUUCUUCCUCAUUCUCCCCAUCUAACAUAAAAAUCAACAAAUUAUGAUGCUUAAGCUCAAGAACAAAGAGAAAAAAUAUUUCCAAAUCUUCAACAAUUUGAAUCCUCUCAUAUUUCAGAUUAAAACAAGAAGAAUGUACUGUACCCAAGUUCAUUUUAUUUUCCCUGCUUUCAAACGUGUGGGAAAAAACCCAAGUUUUAGCAUCAAUCAAGGUGGAAGCUUGUUUGAGUUCUGAGUCUGAUAAUAAAGUCUGAUACCAUGAAAGCCAAAAACUUUAAAGACAGAAUUAACAGACUUUUAAUCGUUUUUGGCCUCUCAAAUAUUCAAAGUUUCUUCUCUGUCUGGAGUCUGUAUUCUCUUUGUGUAUUAAAUGUCCAAUUUUUGCACGACCAAACAAAAAAAAAGGAAAGAAGGAAAUAGAUAAUUUACGGAAGAAACAGACAAAGCAACCGAACCUGGAAGAACCUACGUUUACAGUUAUAUCAGAUCUCCUUUCUAGCAAAAAAAAAAAAAACUUUUCUAUAUUAAAAAUUGCCUCUUAGCUUCUUGGGAAGUAAAAAUGGAAUUUUUAGAAAGGUUUUGGAAAGAACAAAUUAACGGAAGAGUGGAAAAUGACAAUGCUGAUGCACGUGGAACAACAACAAGACAGAUCUCGCUUGCUUCAUUCUCUCUGCAGUGAUUUUGUAGCUUACAUUAGUUUCAUUGACAACUAAUUUUCAGCUUUAAUUUUGCAACUUUUGUAGGAACAUUUCCUCCCUCUACAACCUCCUUUCUCUAAUGGUUUCUUUUUCCUUUAUUUAUUUUUAAAGGUAAAUUCAUUAAAUAAUAAAGAUUCGUUGUAGACGAUAAAAGAUAAGCUCCAUCAAUAUAACAAAGGUUUUAGUCUUAGCAUCAAUAAAAUAUAACACGUUGACAAUUGAUUUUGUCACAACUCAAAUACAAGAUAGAGUUAAAGUGAUUACAAACACUUAAUAUGAUAAGAAAACUAGCACGGAUGGUCCAAAGCGGCGAGCAAAAUUCACCAAAAAAAAUUAAGCAUUCACCAAACUAGAGAGGACAAUAACAAAAAUAUCUCUAAAAUCACUUGUAAAACAAAAGUUACAUGCAUAAGCAAAAUUAAAAAAACUUCCUACAAGAGAAUACGAAAACUUUUAAAACUGAAAACUUAUUAAACAAUAAAAAAAUAAAUAAAAAUAUAUAUAAAACUUAAGACAACAUGAGUCUAAAUUGACUCGUGAAAUUAUUUAUUAUUCUGAAAUACGCUCAAAACAGAAACAGAUUAAGAAACUAAUGAAGAGUCAUCUACUUUCUAAGAAAAAACUACAAGUAACCGAUAGAGUUCUAGGUCCAUCACAACUUGUGAAGACAAUAAAGCUACUUACAAAAUAGAUCUACAAUUAAAAAUAGAGAAGCCAUGUGGAGUGAAUGAGAAGAAUAAAGAAAGUAAUGGAUGGUGGGAGAGAAAAAAGGCGGACGAUAGCUACCUAGGAAGCUGACACCGCUGCUAAGUAAAAUAAAAUAUAAGAAGAGUUUUUAGGUUUUAAUAAUUUUUUUUUACUUUGUUUUUAAAAGGUACAAAAGUAGAAUUAUUUUUAUUAAUACGAUUUAUUUUAAUUUUUAUAAAUUUUUUAAUAAUGUGAUGUUAUCAUCUUAUAUAAAUUUAUACAAUUUUCUAAUAUUAAAUUUAUACAUUAUUAAUAAACAUAUAAUGAUGGUUAUAACACAAACCGGAGAUGAUUGAUUAUUAUGGUUUAUAGCAUGAGUGGGCAGAAGUUACUAAGAUUAAAGGUUUAAAUAUGUGGAACUGAUUGUUGGCAAGAUAAGGAAUAGGUCUUUUUAAGGGGUAUUUAUAAGGGGAUAGAGGCUUGGUGUGGGUCUUAGCCAUUGAGUUUUCCUCUCUCAAAUUGUAGUGACAAGAUGGUGUGUGUUAGCCUAGGAUAAUGUUAGAGCCAAUCUCUAAAUUGUGUAAGCUCGUUGAAUGUAAUGUUUUAGGCAAGGCCAUGAGGCUGAGCUCUUCCGGUGAAGUCAUUGCAAGGUUGUGCACUAUCAAGUUUCUAUAAUUAUCAAUUGUUCUAGCGAGAAAAGUCUAGGAUGAGGGUAUAACAAUUGUCCAUCUAGACCAAAGGCAGAUUAUAAAGUGGCCUAACUUGAGUCAUUGUCAUGAGCGAUGAUAACUACAUUCAUUUGACAAGGCUUUCAUAAAGUUUUGAAGUGUAACACCCCUAACCUGAAUCCGUCGCCAGAACAGGGUUACAGAGCAUUACUAGAGUUUACAGAACAAACAGACAAAAAUUUCACAUCAUAUUAUAUUCAUAUCAGAAAUAAAUCAAAAUCAUAUAUAUUGGCCCUUAUAUGAGCCCUCGAGGCCUAAAAUAUGUGUUAGAAACAAAUCGAGACUAAAUCGGGUACUUAAAGAAUUUUUCAGAAAAUAUUAAAAUUUUUCAAAGUUGCAAGGGAUACACGGCCGUGUGGCCAAGCCGUGUGACUCACACGGUUAGGAGACACACCCGUGUCUCAGACCGUGUGGACAUUCAUAAUAGGGACGCACGUCCAUGUCCCAGCCCAUAUGAAUAUACUGACUUGGGACACACGGCCAAACCACACGCUUGUGUGCUAAGCUGUGUGAGUAUACUGACUUAGGUCACACCGCCAAACCAUAUGUCCGUAUGCUAGGCCGUGUGAGCAAUUUGAGCAUACUUACUUGUGCAAAUUAAAAUAUACAGGGGACACACAGCAGUGUCACAUGGUCGUGUGUAACACACAGCUGAGACACACGCCUGUGUAGAUAAAAAUUGGUCAUCUUUCAAGCCACAUUUCUCACUGAAUUUGUCAUCAACCUAACUCAACAUUUUUGUACAUCUACAAACCACAACAAGACAUUCAAAACAAGCCAAAAUCAUGUCUCAAACAUGACAUAUUACCACAUACAACCAAUGUACCUUAGGUACCUCAAAUGACAAUUUAAAGACAUGUCAACCAAGUAUUUCAAUUUAACUAUUUGACCCAAUUCAUAUAUGCAUUUUCAAACCACAUAUUAAUCACACUUCAAACAUGAUAAAACCACUUAUAUAUAUACAUCAAAAUAUACCAACACAAAUCAUUUAAAUGGCUAGUCCCAACAAAAUCAAUGGCCAAAAUAACCUAUGCAUUCCAUUAUAAUCGGAAUUAAUUUAUUGAAAAUACCAAAAGAGUCCAUGGAUAGUGUAACACCCCUUAACCCCAACACGUAGCCGGAAUAGAGUUACGAAGUAUUACCGAAAUUAAACACUAAUAAACAACCAAAACCAAGUCAUAAAUCUAUAUUUCAAUUUAAAACUUCUCAACUUCCACCUUUAAGUCCCUAAUAUGGACCUACGAGGCCCAAAAUAUACUUAGGAAGUGUUUUGGGAUUAAACCGGAAACUUUGGAAACUUUUCCUUGAAAAUAGGGGCACACGCCCUUGUGGCCUGGGACAUGCCCGUGUGGCUUGCCCGUGGGACUCCCAUGGCCAUGAGGCCAGCUCGUGGGCAGAUCUGACUUACUCACACGGCUGUAGGACUAACCUGUGGGCAAGUCUGACUUUGCCACACGGCCUGGGCACACGCCCAUGUGACUAGGCCGUGUGAAAACCUAAUUUUUCACCAUUUUUAAUCUAUUUUCACAUACUAAACACACCUAAUUCAUGCCCAAAACAUUUACUUAUAAAUCUUGAUAAAAUAACAUUCAUCAAACCUUUCAAACUUAACAAAUUUUCAUUCUUUCAUUUUAUUACUUCUUAAGGAUUAUGCACUACAUUUACAUUCAAAAUAUAAAACAUUUACAAGUGACAAACACCAAACCUAGUACAUGCCGCAUUUCUAAAAGAUAGAUGCAUCACCAAAAUUGAGCUGAGGUCAGGAUUGACUCGGAUGCUUGAUUGAACUUCAACUUUACCUAACCUGCGCAUGGGAAACAACCGUACGCUGAGUAUUGGAAAUACUCAGUGGCAUUAUCAUAAUUCAAAUUAUAACAACAAUAAAAUAUCAUAAACAUACAUAAAUUAGCAAAUCAUACAUACAAAUCAUAUAUAUAAAUUCAUACCAAACUAUCAUAUUUCCAUUAUAUCAUUUCCAAUGAUAGAUCCUAUAAAUCAUCAAUGAGAUUUCAAAUAACUCAUGAACCUUUGAUUCAUCUCUCAACCACAUAUAAUUAUUCAAUUCACAUUUCAAAUAUGAACACCUCAUGAACCUUUGGUUCAUACCUUCAAUCUCUUUACGAAUUUCAUCUCACAUUCCAUCUUUCAAUAUCACUUUCUCAUUUCAUUCAAUAGCUCAAUUAAUCAAAUUCAUUUGAUUUUAUUAUUUCACUUAUUUUCCCCUAUUAACAUGACUCGGACUUUGGCGGAUACACGGAUCCAACCAAACACACCAGAAUAGCGACCAACACCUCAUCGGAUAGUUCGAAGCAAAUAAGUGACGACCAACGUCUCAUUAGCUAAGCCGAAGCAAAGUGGCGACCAACGCCUCAUCGAAUCUAUCCGAAGCAAUAAUGACACACCAAGUGUCCCAUUGACUCGAAGUCGAAGUAUUCUUGAGCCUUUCCAAUCCUAUGGCAUGCCAACUAUAUCCACUAAGCCCAACUAGUUAAUAGGGUAUCGGAUUACUUCCUCUAUUUCAAUCAAUUCACAUCAAUUGCACUUUAACCACAUUUUCUCUCAUAUUUCUCAAUUGAAAUUCAUAUGCAUACCAACAUUACUCAAUUCAAUCAUACAAUUCAAUUUCACAUACAUAUAUUUAUUCAUCAAAUAAAUCUAAUUCACAUUCAACUUAAAUAUCAAUAUUUACCUCACAUUCAAAUUCCAUACAAAUAUAUUAAAAUUAAUCAUUUAAUAAGAAAUAACUUGAAUUAUGAUAAUACAAACCGAUAUUUUUUUUCUCGAGCUAUUCCUUGAUCACUUUUUCUUUUCCCUUCAUGUUCGACGUCUCGGUUUCCUUGUUUGCUACGAAAAUUAGCAUAAGUACAAUUAAUUAAUAAUACACAUAUUUUAUAUAAAAUAAUAACUUUUCAUGCAACUUUUACCUAAAUCCCUAAUUUAUCCUAACCAUUUUCAUUUUCUUCCUUUUUACAAUUCACAUCAUUUUCUUAUUCAAUUUCCAUCAAAACUUCAAUAUAACUAUCAAAAUUUCACCAUUUUUCCAUAAUUUCGAAUUUCUUCUUAAUUUAACCCCUAAAAUUCAAAACUUAUAGACUAGUUUACAAAUUAGUCCUUUAAUCAAUUUUAAUCAACAAUUCUAUCAAUUUGAUCCCUAAUUUCAUCAUUUAUUCAACAUAAACCUUACUCAAAAGUCUAUCAACUUUCAAUAUUUCCACACAAAUUCAAGAGUACUUUACUCUAAGACUCCAAAAACAUCAAAAUCACAAAGAAAUAGACUUAAUUGACUUACCAAUUUAACUUCUAAGCUUUCAAAUCCUAAUUUCUCCUUUUUCUCUUCUUUUCUUCUUUCUUUCCCUAGUUUUCGUGACUUUCUCUGUAACUUUUCUAUUCUAUUUUUUUUAUGAUUUGUUUAUUAUUAUUAUCAUUUACUAAAUUAAUAAUUAAUAAAAUAUCUAAUUAAUACAAAUAAAAAUACUACAUGUGUAUUCAUACAAACAUGUACACAUGUAUUAAUCCCACAUCAUACAUUUUUUAUUAUCUCAAUUAAUAGAUAAAAUAUAAUAAUAAUAAUAAUAAUAAGUAAAUAUCUUUUACUUAAUAAAUAAGUAAAUAUAUAUAACAUACAUUUGUACUAAUAAUUUAAAUACACAUUUAUUUAUUCUUUAUCUUACACAUGUCACUAAUUUGGUUUAAAUACUAAUUUCGUCCCUUGUCAUUUUUCUCUAUUUUAAAAUUAUUUUUUUACGCUCUAUUCAAUUAGUCCUUUUUAAUAAUUACUUCUAAUUAAACUAAGUUCAUCUAAUCAAAAUCUAAUUCAACCCAUAACUAACUUCGUAAAUAUUUUUAAUAAAUAUUUACGGACUCAUUUUCCUAAGACGGAGGCCCUAAAUUCAUUUUUUCUGUAAUAGCCUGAAUUUCAAUGAUGUCGAAAAUAGUGGUUCGAGACCAUCAAAUCCGACAAAUGAACUCGUAGGUUAUAUUAUUUAAUAUUUACGAGCCAAAUGUAGUUUUUAAAAGAUUUUUGGAAUAGUAAAUUGUGUUUUAUAAAGAUUUAUUUGGUCAAGAAAUUGAGAAAAAGAGGUAUCGAGAUCUCGAUGUUAUAAACUGAGCCAUAAAUAUUUUUAUAAAUAUUUACGGAAUGUCAAUAAGAUAGUAUUAAAAUUUCGUUAGAAAAUUUUGACGUUUGGGCGGUCAAUUAAAUAAAAAGGAUAAAAUUGGAAAAUGUGUAAAAGUUGCUAAAAGGAUUAAAUAGCUCAAUUGUCAGAUGAGGAAGGACCUAAAGUGAAAAUAAGCCCAAAGGAGAUAUUUUGGGCGGCAAUAGCUGAGAAAAAUCAGGAAAUGGGUGAAAUAAGGGCAAAAUUGGAAAAUUGCCAAAAUUAGCUAAAUAAAAAUGGGACUAAAUUGGAAUAUCUAGAAUUCUCUUCAUUUCUCUUCAUAUUCAUCAGCUGAAAAACAGCCAUUGAAGGGCGUUCAAGCUGGUUUUCAUGCUCUAGCUUCAUGUAAGUUUAAUUCUUGCUUUCUCCUUGAAAUUUCUAUGUUUUUGGAAUUUUACAAUUGGGUCCAACUUACUAUUUCAUUAGUUUUUGAUUCCAUGGAUAAUUUUUAAAGUUUUUAUGGAUGAGUGCUGAAAUAAUAUGAUGAAUAAUCAUAUAAUUUAAGCUUUAAUUUUGGUAUAUGAUGAUUUUAUCAAGUAAAAUUGAUGGAAAUUCAUUUUAGGACCUAAUUAAGAAAGAGUUUGGAAUUAAUGUCUAAUGCUAAAGUUAUGAUUUUUAGGGGUUAUGAAGAAGUUUAAAAUGAUAGACUAAAUUAUUAAUUAAGAAAAAUUAGCUCAAUUGAGGGGUUAAUUGAGCAAGGACUGAAUUGUAUAAACUAUAAAAUUUGGGGCAAAAUGGAAAUCAACAUUUUUCACUAAAACUGUUUUGGACAGUAGCAGUAGUGUAACUUUGAAAAAUCACCAAAAAUUUUAUAAAUUGAAUUAUAGUAUGAAUAAAAUAUGAAAUUAAAGCUUAUUGAGUCUAGUUUCUUAUAAAAGAAACGAUGUAAGCAAUGGAAUUGUGAAUCAUGAGAUAUAAUAAAUUUUAUGAGACAAGGUCAGAAUGAUUUCGGGUCCCCCUGUUUUGACUUUGGAAAAUCAUAAAAAAAUUGGUGAAAAAUGAUUAGGGGCUUAAAUUUAUAUGUUUAGAAUCCAUAAUGAGCCUAUUUUCUAUAGAAACAAACGAAAACAUCAUUUGAAUCUUGUACGAGGAUAUAAUUAAUUUUUAGUGAAGAAGAGUCGGAACUGUUAGACAGCAGAAAAGGGGUAAAUUUAAAGAAUAAACUGUACUUAUUGACUAAACCAAAAAUUCUGAAAAUUUUAUGGUAAGAAGAUAUAUGAGUCUAGUUUCAGGGAAAAUUAUCGGAUCUUAAUUUGGAGUUAUAUAGCUCCAGAUAUAAAUAAUUUAGUGACUAUGACACAGAUGGACAACUUGAAUAUUUAUAAAAGUAAAUAAUAAAGAUUAUAGAUAAUGUUACUUACAAGUGUGUUAUAUACAUUAAGGAUGUGGAAUGGAGAGGAGGAGGAGGAAAAUAUAUAUGAAUAUCCAGCUAGCAUGGCUAAUUUGCAUGUUUUAGGCUUAAGGACUAAAUUGAAUAAAAGUAAAACUUCAGGGGGUAAUUUUGUAAAAAUGUCAAAAAUGACCAAAUUGAAGGGAAUGAAUUUUUUUAUUAUCUAAAUUAAUAAAUUGAAUGAAAUUUUCAAUUUAAGAUCGGGUGAAAAUUGGGAAAAUGGUAAAUUACCAAAAUGCCCCUUAAUCUUGAUAUUUCUGCAAUUUCGCCAAGUAAGUUUGUGUACCUUGAAUUAUAUUCUUAAAUGCUUGAAAUGCAUAUUUUUUAUAUGAAUAUGAUUUGAAUGUUCAUUAUAUGGAAAUUUAUGAAACAUUGAUAUAUUUGAAAAAAAAAGGGGAAAAAAUCCCGAUUAAAUGGAAGGAAAUUUCGAUGGAUCUCUGAAAGGGAAUUGACGGUAAAAAGGAUCUAGCCCGGACGGGUGAUCCUAUCCUAAUAUAGCCCUCCCGAAGAAUAUGUGGAAAAUGGAUUUAGCCCGGACAGGUAAUCCGAAUUAGGGUCUAAAUUUAGCCUGGACUGGUAAUUCAGAUCCAAGCUCAUUAGAGUAAUUGUCGUUGCAGGGGAUUUAGCCUGGACUGGUAAUCCCGACAAUACUCUAUGAAUUUAUAUUACAGGGGUUUAGCCUGGACUGGUAAUCCCACUGUAAGGAUGAGGUUCGCGGGAGUGUGCUCUCUGAUAUGGAAUGUGUAAGACCAUGGUUGAAAGAUACCAUGGCAACCUGAUAUGAAAUGUGUAAGACCAUGGUUGAAAGAUACCAUGGCAACGUGAUAUGAAAUGAAUAAGACCAUGGUUUAAAGAUACCAUGGCAACCUGACAUGAAAUGAGUAAGACCAUAGUUGAAAGAUACCAUGGCAACAUGACAUAAAAAUGAAUAAGACCAUGGUUGAAAGAUACCAUGGCAACAUGACAGAAAACGAGUAAAACCAUAGUUGAAAGAUACUAUGACAUCAUGUCGAAGAUAAAUAAGAUCGAGGAAGAGAAACGCCAAGAUAUCUAUUGAACAAUCGAUAUUCAGGUAAUAUGUAUCAGAUGGAAUGGUUAUAUGAAAUGGUUGUGUGAAAUGUUUACAGGAAUUGGUCAUAUGGAAAUAUAUGUACAAAAUAGUUGUAUGAAAUAAUUAAGAAGAUAGAUAAAUGAAAUAAGUAUAGGUACAUGGAAUUUAAUUUAUGUUAAGUUUAAUACGAACUAUUACCGAAAUAAAUAUAUACAAGAUAUAAGGAAAUGAUGGUGCAUGAAUUAUUGAUAUAACGAAAUGAAUGAUAUAUGCUUAUGAAGAAACAGUAAGAGAAUAAUAUAUUUUGUGACAUGUACAUAUAUAAUUAUCUUUGAUAUGUUGAUACAAGGAAAUUAUGUAAGUUGAGACUAUUAUUAAACUCAAGUGUGAUAUGUUGAGAAAAUAGGUAUAUCAAUGUUGAAUUUAUAUGAAAUAUGUGCAAGUAUACUAACAAUGUUGUUGUUUGACGCUUAGACAAGUGCCAAGCUAUGACAUGAUAUGAAAUGAAUAAGACCAUGGUUGAAAGAUACCAUGGCAACCUGACAUGAAAUGAGUAAGACCAUAGUUGAAAGAUACCAUGGCAACAUGACAUAAAAAUGAAUAAGACCAUGGUUGAAAGAUACCAUGUCAACAUGACAGAAAACGAGUAAAACCAUAGUUGAAAGAUACUAUGACAUCAUGUCGAAGAUAAAUAAGAUCGAGGAAGAGAAACGCCAAGAUAUCUAUUGAACAAUCGAUAUUCAGGUAAUAUGUAUCAGAUGGAAUGGUUAUAUGAAAUGGUUGUGUGAAAUGUUUACAGGAAUUGGUCAUAUGGAAAUAUAUGUACAAAAUAGUUGUAUGAAAUAAUUAAGAAGAUAGAUAAAUGAAAUAAGUAUAGGUACAUGGAAUUUAAUUUAUGUUAAGUUUAAUACGAACUAUUACCGAAAUAAAUAUAUACAAGAUAUAAGGAAAUGAUGGUGCAUGAAUUAUUGAUAUAACGAAAUGAAUGAUAUAUGCUUAUGAAGAAACAGUAAGAGAAUAAUAUAUUUUGUGACAUGUACAUAUAUAAUUAUCUUUGAUAUGUUGAUACAAGGAAAUUAUGUAAGUUGAGACUAUUAUUAAACUCAAGUGUGAUAUGUUGAGAAAAUAGGUAUAUCAAUGUUGAAUUUAUAUGAAAUAUGUGCAAGUAUACUAACAAUGUUGUUGUUUGACGCUUAGACAAGUGCCAAGCUAUGACAUGAUAUGAAAUGAAUAAGACCAUGGUUGAAAGAUACCAUGGCAACCUGACAUGAAAUGAGUAAGACCAUAGUUGAAAGAUACCAUGGCAACAUGACAUAAAAAUGAAUAAGACCAUGGUUGAAAGAUACCAUGUCAACAUGACAGAAAACGAGUAAAACCAUAGUUGAAAGAUACUAUGACAUCAUGUCGAAGAUAAAUAAGAUCGAGGAAGAGAAACGCCAAGAUAUCUAUUGAACAAUCGAUAUUCAGGUAAUAUGUAUCAGAUGGAAUGGUUAUAUGAAAUGGUUGUGUGAAAUGUUUACAGGAAUUGGUCAUAUGGAAAUAUAUGUACAAAAUAGUUGUAUGAAAUAAUUAAGAAGAUAGAUAAAUGAAAUAAGUAUAGGUACAUGGAAUUUAAUUUAUGUUAAGUUUAAUACGAACUAUUACCGAAAUAAAUAUAUACAAGAUAUAAGGAAAUGAUGGUGCAUGAAUUAUUGAUAUAACGAAAUGAAUGAUAUAUGCUUAUGAAGAAACAGUAAGAGAAUAAUAUAUUUUGUGACAUGUACAUAUAUAAUUAUCUUUGAUAUGUUGAUACAAGGAAAUUAUGUAAGUUGAGACUAUUAUUAAACUCAAGUGUGAUAUGUUGAGAAAAUAGGUAUAUCAAUGUUGAAUUUAUAUGAAAUAUGUGCAAGUAUACUAACAAUGUUGUUGUUUGACGCUUAGACAAGUGCCAAGCUAUUGAUUGAAUGGUAACAUGUUUAAUUAUAAAGAGCAUUGAAAUGGUAAGUACUUAGAUGAAAAUAUAAUUUAAGAUUUUGCGAAAUUUUUUUUUAUGAUCUCGAUUUUAUUCCAGUUGAUUUCUAAUGUAUGUUUUGGGCUUCGAGGGUCCAAUAGAGAGACGUUAUGAUUAUUUCAAAAUAUGAAUAAUAAAUGACUCAAAAUUAUCUGAAAAUGUUCAGUAAACUCCGGUAAUGCCUCGUACCCUAUUCCGGCAAUGAAUACGGGUAGGGGGUGUUACAUUUUCGGUGACCGUGAAAUAUGGGUCGUUACAAAUAGUGUGAUUCAGCUCCGACCAACUUCCAACCCAAAUGAGCUUCUGAAUUACUAUAAAACAUGGAAAAAUAACACAGAGUAAGCUUUUAAGCUUAGUAAGUUCGAAUAACAUAGAAUUUAACUUACCAUUUAAUCACAUUUAAGGUAUGCAUACAAGACAUAUUCAAAUCAAUUUGGCUAAAAAGUCUAAACACAUAACCUCAACAUAUUAGCCAUGUAAACACAUAUAAUAGCUCAUAAUCAUGGAUGAACAUAGUCAUUAAGCAAGUUCCACAUACAUGUAUCAACCGAAUCAUGUUUCAAUAUAUCAAGUAAUAUCAUUUCCAUGUAUAUACCGAUAAUAGUUUGUACCGAACUCAUUUUGUCUCAUAACAGAACAUUGCCCAUUGAACCGUUUAAAAUAUCGUUGGAUACAUGGGUAGUACACACGAAGUGUACAAAAUUGUAAUCAGUCAAUUCAUGUACAUGUAUGCUCAUAUGAGCAUGUAAACGGGAAGCUCUUCCAAGCUAUAUAACGAGAAGCUCAUGUGAGCUAAAUAACGGGAAGCUCAUGCGAGCUGUAUAUCGGGAAGCUCAUGAGAGCUGUGGUGUGUCCGCAACACAUGCAGGACUACAACCAAAACGAUAACCCUAAUGACAUAUCAUUUGUAUCCUCCGAAUUUUUAAUGUUCAAACUGGACUCAGAAAUUAUCGGAUAUGUGAUCGGUAAUUAUACAUGGCAAUUGUACAAAUCACACACAAUAAUAUUCAAUUUUAAAACAUGUAAAUGUACCAUUUAGUUACACGAACUUACCUCGACUAGUGUAUGUAGAUACGAAGGCUACUAAUCCGUUACUUUUCCUUUGUCUCGAUCUAACUCCUUACUAGUCUAUCUAGAUCUAUACGAAUGAAUUUGACUUAAUUCAAUAUAAUUCAUAUUUAAUUCAGUCCAACACAUAUUUUUGGAAAAAUUACUAUUUUGUCUUUAUACUUUUUAUUUAUUACAAUUUAGUCUCUAGACUCAAAAAAUGAAAUUCAUACAAUUUAAUUCUUAUUCAAGCUUAGCUGAUUUUUAUACAUAUUAAUAGUAGCCCAUGUAUUUCACAAAAUUCAAAAUUUUACCAUAAAUUUAUCAUCUUUUCAAUUUUGUCCCUAAUUGAUAAUUUCAUCAAAAUUAUCUUUACAAAAGUUGUUUAUCUAACAGCAACCUUUCAUUUUCUAUUAUAAAACUUCAAAAUUUAAGCAUACUCAUCCAUGGAAAAAUCUUAAUACUUUAACGGUUUUGCAAAUUAAUCCCUGAGAUAGUUAGAUUAAGCUAUUACAAUCUCGAAAACAUAAAAAUUAUUAAAAACGGGACAAAAAUACACACCUAAAUAAGUAAAAAUAAGGUUGCUGACUUCAAGCUUUCAUGGCUAGGGUUUCCAUCUUUUUUAUUUUAUUUUAUUUGGUAAAAGAUGAUGAUAUUAGAUUAUUUUAUUUAUUUAUCAUCUUUUAUCAUUUCUUUUUCCAAAGUUAACUUUAAUAAUUUAUUAAAUUUCCAAGGAUGAAUAAUCAUUUUUAUCCACUAACUACUCUAAAUGGUCUAUUUACUAUAUAAGGACCUCCAAUUUAAAAUUCCGUAGCUAUUUAAUACCUUCAGUUAUUAGAAUUUAAUUUUUUCACUUUAUGCAAUUUAGUCCUUUUUAUUAUAUUAGACAUAUAAACGGUAAAAUUUCUUAACAAAAUUUUUAUACGAUAUUUUUAUCAUACUAUAGGCUAUAAAAUAAUAUUAAAAUAAAUUUUCUUUCGACCUGAAAUUUGUGGUCCCAAAACCACUAUUAUUAUUUUACUGAAAAUGAACUGUUACAUGAAGCGUCAUCUUUAUUCAUUGAUCGUCAUGCAUUUGUAUUAAUUGCCUUUGGACAUUCCGAUUAGAAUUGUUAGGAAUGCAUUGUUUCUUAUAGCAAUCGUUUCGUUUGGAAUUCCAAUUUAUAUUCUGGCCCAAAUAUCUAAUAUUUUUAAAAAUGGGUUAGUAGUUGAAGAGCCAGACAAUUGAUUCUCGAUUCUCGAUUCAAUCCUUGAUUUAAUCAGUUUGAUAAUAUAAAAUAAUAAUUAUAAUUAAAAAUACUUUAAUAAGCCCAACUAUAUUUUGGACUUCUAAUUUAUAGCUCAUUUAGUAAGCCCAACUAGUGUUAGCCGAAACCUCUUAACUUAAUUUUAUCGCUUCACGUUUCAUUUUCCUGCUGCCGCCUCUCAUUUUCUUUCUUCGAUUCAUUUUUUAUUUUCAUAACCUUUCGGCUUUCACUUUACUCUGUGCAUGUAUUUUCCCUUUUCAUUCUAAGUCUAGGAAAACCACUUUGCAGUUUAAAUGAAGUCUUAAGGAUUCAAUUCAUCUCUUUCUCUUUCGUUGCUCUAGUUUUAUGGUUAUUGAUACCCACUGCUCAAAUAUAGUCACUUUAUUCCGGAGUGAUUUGAUAAUAAAAAAUACAAGUUCAAGAUUAAAAAAAAUUAAAAAUUAAAUAAUUAUAAACAUUGAACAUCAAAUAAGUGAUUAUAACUAAAGUCAUGACAAAUGGUGGAAUUCUGUGACAAAUUUGACCUUGAUCAUAGUUUCAAAUCAUCAUUAAAGAAAGCUAUGAAAUAACUCUUCAAACACGUGUGACAAUAGGAUCAUAAUUGUUUCUGGCUCGGGAACGAGCGUCAAUGGUGUGCUGCCAACAUAAAAAUGUGAGCAGUUUUCCAGCGAGAGAACAAAGCACAUACCAACUGUUCUUGAUAUACUUCCAUCGGUAAUUAUUAUAAAAAUACCAUGAGCUUUGCAUGAAACCAGGUUGAAUAUAAAAUUCCACUUCGGUGACCUCAAAAUUGGCUUUGCAUGAACCAAAACAAACGCUAGAAAAAGCCUAGAAGGGGUUGGUUUGAUCUUUGCGUAGAUAUUUUGGUUAUCCAUCCUUUUCAUCACAUUAAUAUAUUUUCUUCCAAAAAAAGAAAAGAAAAAACCCACCAGCUAGAUUGAUGAGACUAGAUUUCACAAGAUAUGGGUACUAUCAUUUUCUUCCCACCAUUUUUGUAGUCCUUAUUUAACCUAAUCUUUUGUCUGCUUAGAGAACAGGAAACUGUAUAACAUGGGACAAUAAAUAGGCUUGAAUUCCACUUCUUUUUUUGUUCUUUUUAAGCAGGAUUUAUCAGACAUAGAUUAGAAAGAAAGAUCAUUCAUAACUCUGGUCUAUCUGAUAGUUGGAAGACACGGUGAAGACUGAAGAGUUUCACAUUUGGGCCCUAUUUUAUCACUUUUGAGCUGCUCCCCUAAGGUGUUUAUUUCAUAGCUGUAAAGUUGUAAGAAAAUAUGAAGAAUUGGCUCUUUGGGUCCAUUGAUACAUUUAUACACGCUUUUUUAUGACAGCAGGUAAGAUCUUGAGCCGUCCUUUUUCAACUUUUCUGGUUUUUUAUUUCAUAGGACUACCUUUCAAACAUAAAUAAUGGGAAGAAUCUUUAAACAGAUUCAUGAAAUUAAAGGUGAAAAUCUUUUGCCAAACUUUUAAAUUAAGGGAUUGGUUCUUUGGAGUGUAGCAGAUGAUUAGCAAAAGUUUUAAACAAAAGCUUUUCUCAUCAUUUUUUGUUAAGCUAUGGUUUCCAAAUGUUCCCUGAAAACUUUUAACAUGUCAGAAAAUGUGACAAUUCCGACCAAACUACAAUCAUCUUCUAUAACCCAAACAUAGUUAACUCUAUGAGAAAUGGCUUGGAUCAUCACUGCAACUAAUGAACUCUUGGGAUGGCACACAAUUGCCUCAGCUCUUCUCACCAUCCUGGCUGAAUAACUCAUUGACCUACUAUAUCUUCCGGAUCUUGGCAAUGGUGAGGCUGCCAUGGAUUCUUCAUCAGAUGACGAUGAUGAGAAUCCACCAUAUGACAUUGACAUACUGAAAUGUUCAAGCAUUCCAUUCAAGUUUCUCUCCUUCAACCUUGAUGAAACGACCCGAACAAGGUCUUCCGGUGGACCUCCGCAGUCGAUGUAGGCCAUUAGAUCCCCGGAGGACAAGGUCUUGACGGCUGCUGCCACCGUCUCGUCGCAGCAGGCCAAGGUGAAGGGAGAAAUUUCUCCAAUCAAACAGCCUUCACUGUCAACCACAGCCACUGAAGUUUGGUCCACAAGGGUUCGAGAAAUGGCUCCUAUGGCUGCAGAAGCAGGGAAGUGGUACUCAAUGGUGAGGAUUUCAGAGCUGAUGAUGCCAAGAGUGUCGAUGGAGAAAGCAGGGACAGGUGAAAAGAGGCCAAUUGAGCUGAGUAGGAAUCUAAUCACAUCUUCUUGAGUUAACCAGCAGAAUUCACGGCCUUUGUGGACAGUGACCGUCGGUGAUGGCUUCUGGUGCUGUUUUCUCUUGUUGCUGAGCUUGGUUUUGAUUGGCACCACAAGGUUUUGAGCUCCUUCAAGUAUAAGAUCUAUUGCUUCUAACAAGCUGAAAACAAAAAGAGAAAUAAUUAUGAUUAAUCACUUGAAAUGAAUUGGAUUCCAUCAAUUGACAGCCCCAAAGAUAAAACAAAAACUGGGAAAACGUAAAAAAAAGAAAAAGAAAAAAGAAAAAAAACCCAUAUAGCCAUAAACAUUGAAAGAAGUGAAGAAAAUCCAGAAACAAGAAGAAUCGAAACAUGUCAAUUAUCAGUACCUGCAAGACGGUUCCACAUGCAAAACAAGGCCAGGAAUCUUAGGCAAAAGCACUGAAACAGGUUCCUUCAAAGCAACAGAAGGUGACACCAAGUUUUCAUCUUUGCAAAGAUAACAAAUCACAUCCACCAUACAAACUUUGCCUACACAUCUACAAUCAUCAUCAUCAUAAUUGUCGCAAAAACCAGCAGCCGACUCAAACCCUGAACUGGUUUUAGCCUUAUGAUCGCAACUCCACACACUAACGAAGUUAUCAUCCGAGGUUUUCAAGACCUCAAGAGCCUCAGCAAUGGUAGAUGUUACAGAAAGUGACCUCAGCGCUGGCUUGCCAAGACACAAGUCAGACAACUCAUGUGACAAUAACCUCACUGCCAUGCAAAAGAAUACUACGGAAAAUUGAGUGACUAAAAGAGAGGAAGAAAGGGCUUCUUUCUUCUUCUUUUUUCUGAAUUUUGUUUCUUGAUUUCUUGAGGAUGGAUGCAGAUACUGGUGAGGGUUAGGGGUAUAUAUAAGAGAGGGGGGGAGGGGGAAUUUGUUUGGAAAAUGAAGGGAAAGAGGGGAGGUACGGUAUAAAGUACAAAAUUAAGGGCAAAAACAAUGUAGGGUCCAUUAAGCUUGUCUUAUAAUAUGAAUAAAAAUGAAUAAUUGAGAUUACAGAGUUGAACAGAGAAAAAGAAUAAUUGAGGUUACAGAUCAGUUGUCACGUUGUAAUUCGGUCAAGCCAUCGGUGCCUGAGUUUAUAGUUUUAUAUUUACAGUAAAGAGUUGUGUUUACUUUAUAAUCUUCCACCAUGUUUGCUAUCGUAUUUUUAUGUAAAUUAUUUUUUUUUCUUUUCAAAAUAAUUAAAUAAUUAAAUUUAAAUGUAAUUAUUUAUAAUUAUAUAGCUGUAAGGUAUUCGGUUAAUCAUCGUAAUUGAUAAAUCUCGUUAAGUGUAAUUAAAACAUCAAAUUAUAAUUUUUAAUUUUUAAAAGGUUAAAAAUUAAAGUAAUUAUAAAAUAACUUUCCAAACACUCAUAUAAUUUUCAAACAUUUAAAUCUAAUUUUUUUUUAUAAAAUUUAUAUUAGAAGCAUAGUCCCAUAUGAAUAAUAAAAACAAAAUUAUUCGUAAGAAAUUAUAUUAUAGUAAUUAAUAUUUUUUUAAUUUAAAUUAUAUAAUGGUAUAAUGGUAAUUUUGUGCUAUCAAAUAUGAGACAAGUGUAAUUAUAUUGUAAUUACAUUUUGUCAAUUAAAUAUACCUAGAUAAUAUAAUUUCUUGUAAUUAUAAGAGAGUGUAAUUACUACUUUAAUAAUUAUUACUCUAAUAAUUACACUUCUAUUCAAUUAUACUUAGUUGUAUAAAUUUACCUUAUAUAAUAUUUUUAAUAAUUCAAUUACACCAUGUUGUGGGUUUUUUUUUUACCUUUUUAAAGAUUUAAAGUUAAGAUUUUAGAAUACAAAGUUUGGUAUUAAGUUUUAGCGUUUGAAUCGAGGAUUUAGGAUUUAGGAUUUAAAAUUUACAAUUUAAUGUUUAAAUUUUAGAUUUCAAGACUUAAAAUUUAAUAUUUAGGAUGUAUUUAGAUGGGAAAUUUAGAGAUUUUUAAAAUAUUAAUUGUUUUAAAAUACUAUCAAUUAUAAUUACAUUGUUUCAAUAAAUAUUUGUUUUAAGAAAAGGGUAAAUUAUUGUAAUAUCUUGAGCUAAAAAAUAAUUAUAAAAGAAGGACAAUGAUGUUAAAAAUAAAUAAUAUAAAAAUACAAUAUGAAUAUUUUAAAUUUGUAAAAAAAUACAAAUAUAUAUAUUAGAACUAAAUAGAAAUGAUAGUUUGGAAUUUAACUUCUUUUUGUAUAAAAAUAGGUAUCUUCUUAUGUUUUAUGAUCUGAACAUAAUUUAAAACUUGAACUUAGUUCAAAUACAUGGGAAAGAAAUACACUUUCAUUUCUUCCAAUCACUUAUUAGUUUUGAAAGUUAACUUUUUACAUUGUGUAUUAAAUGCAAUAAGAUUAUAAGAAAAUUGAAAUAACUAUUCAUUUUUAGAAUUUUAAAAACCUUAAAAAUUCCGAAAACUUUUUCCUCUAAAUUUCUCUUUCAAACACAUCUUAUGGAUUUAGUUUAGUAUUUAGGUAAUGACAAAUUGUGAGGGUAGGGGUACCUUUUAGAUUUUGUCUAUCCUAAUCUUCUUUUUUAAAUAUCUAUAAAGAUAUAAAUUCGUAUUUAAAUUUGUCAAUAAAGGUUUGGUUGAAAUGAAAAGAUUGAAGUUAGAAAAUUUUGAUAUCUUAAGUUCAGGUUCUACCGAUAGUAAAAACCAUGUCGAGUUCUCUUUGAAAUUUAGUUUAAGUACUCUAAUAUUUGAGUUUGAUUUUCAAUUCAAUUGUGUUUUGUACUAUGUUGAGUUUAGUUAUAACUAUUCAAACAUGUAUUGUUUGCAACCAUACAUAUAAAAUUUAUUUUUAAAAAAUGACAAAAUUCGACUAAAGUAUUAGUCUAGCUCAUUUCGAUACUAUUGCAAACUUCUAAAGAUUUCAUGUUCGAGUAAUGAACUUAAGUGCAUAAUACCUUCCUUAAAUAAUUCAAGGGUUUAAUUUUAGUAAUUCACAAAUUGUAUAAUGUUCCAUUUGGGAAAUGGAUUUGAAAAUUUGGAUUUAGAUUUUAUUUUUAUGUGUAUGGUAAGAAAAAAUGUCUAUAUUAUGAAUAAAUUAGUUGAAAUUCAAUAAAAUAUAUAAUUAAAAAAAUAUAAAAAUAUAAAUUUGCUAAAUCCAAAAUUAUUCUAAAAUUUUCAAAUUCAUUCAUUUAAAAAAUAUAAUCAUUUUAAAAAAACCAUAUUAUAUUUCUAAAUAAUUAAAAGUUAACUUUUGAGUAUUUUUUUUUUUAAAUUAAUUUUGUGUACAAUCAUAUCAAUCUUUUGUAGCAAAGAAACUAAUGACUUGUAAUCUUGGUUUGUUGGAUUUCAUCAUUGAACUCUCUAGAUUUUAUUUCUUAAUAAAUUGACAUAACAACUACUCUAAUUUGUAUCUAAACUUAACAUGUGAAAAACUUUUCUUCAUAAUAAAUCACUCAUUCAGCAACCAAUUAUCAAUAAAUAAUUCUAAAUUAUUUGUUUCAUUUUUUAUAUAAUUUUGUUUUAUGCCAAACUAAAUAUAUUUUCCAGGCUAAAAAUAAAAGGUGAGAUUGAUUCAAUUUAAAAAUAAAAAAUAAAAUAAAGCGUAAGAUUUUUGAAAUUGAAUAAUUUUAUUAUAAAUUUUAAUAUAAUAAAUAUACUUAUAAUUACUCCUCAAUCCAUAAAUAGAUUUUUUUUUUGUGAUGGAAAAAAUAAUAAUGAAUUGUACAAUUUUCUUUAUAUGAAAAACUUUUGAAAAAUUUUUUUGUUUCUUCACAAAUUUCCUUUGUUUGUUUGGUAUUAAUUGACAAAGACAUUGAUGUAACCUAUAGGAUGAAUAGGUCCUCUAAUAUUGGAACAUACCCAAAUCUCUUCAAGAUAAUUAAAUUUUUAUAUAUUUGCAUCUUUUUUUCCUUCACUUUUACUAAGGUAGGCUGUAUUGAAAAUAGAACUCUUCCAAAAGGAUUAAAAUUCAUUAGGUCUAAUAUCAAAACAUUUUAUUAUUAUUUGUUAUUAGGACUAAUACCCCGUGAUGUGGGGUUUGAUUUUAAUAAUUACAAUAAAAAUAUUUAUAUUUAUUUUUUAAUUUAUUAAUUGAUGUACUUAUUUAAUAAUGUAUUAUUGCGUCUUGAUGUUAUAAUAUAUUUGAUAUAUAAUUGAUAAAUUUCAAUUAAUUUUUUAAAAGAUACAGUUAAAAUGUUUUAUUUCUGCUAUCGGAUAUAAUAUUAAAAUAACCAAAACUAAAAAUAUUUAUAUAUUUAAUAUUUUUUAAAUAACUCAACUCAAAUAAACAGUACACUUUCUAUAAAUUUUCAAAAAAAUUGAAAUGGUACAUUUGAUAUCAAGGAAAGCAAUUAAUUUAUCUCUAAAGUUAAUCAAAACUAUUAAGCUAUUACUUUUUAUUGGAAAUGGAUGUGCCGAUCGAGUCUUAACUCGAUUGGUAUGAACAUUAUUAUCAAUGCAGGAGAACAUAAGCUUAAGUGCACUAUAGUGCAUUAUCCUCCUAUUAAUGAGUUGGUGGGACUAUUUAAGUAAUUGGAGUAGUACAUAAAGAUGAUAAUUGGAGUAGCACAUUCGAAGCCAUUUGCUGGUGCUUGUGGAAGCAUCAGAAUAUUUUUUUUUUAAUAGAACUUACCUGAACGUUAAUGGUAUCAUAUACCAAGCUCGUCAUUUAUCUGGGAGGGCAAUGGAGGUGCAACAUCAUACGGGGGGUAUUGAUAGCAGAUUCAACCAAUAAUUCAGGAAAACUCGAUACAUGUUACCAGAGGUGGAUUGGUACAAAUAUGUUGAUUUGGGCCAUGCGUCAUCAAGGAUGAUAAUGGAAGAUGGGAUUUGCCCUUAAGAUUGGAAUAUGCUCAACCAUUGAAGAUGAGUUGUAGGAAGCUUAUGAUGGGCUACAACAAGCUUGGCAUAUGGGAGCAAGGAUGGUGAUUCUUGAAAUGGACAGCUUAGAGGCUAUUCAAAUGUUGUAGAAUAUGUCAGAUAUUCCUCAAUUUGCACUAGCUCGUGAUGUUAAGUGUUUGAUUCAAAACCAAUGGAAAGUUAAGCUACAUGUCUACAGGGAAGAUAAUAGAGUUUCAGAUAGGUUCCUACAAUUUCUUGCAACCAUUGGUCAGGUUUUGAAUCUUGUUUAUAAAUUGGAUAGGUUAGUAUGAUUUUGAUGUAAUCCUUUCUUUUUAUCUUUUUUUUUACCAAAAAUGUAACACCCCUAACCCCUUUUCCAUCAAUGGAUUAGGUUCAUGAGCAUUACUACUAAAUCAAUCAUAAUUAAAAUGCAAACUAUUUCAUUCAAAUCGAAGUUAAUCUAAGCAUACAAUCCUAAAUACGAGUUUACAAAUCCCUAAAAAUAAUUCCAAAACUAACGGAGGCUAAUUUGAAACAAUUCUAAAAGUCUAGGGUGAAAUCUCUAAAAGCCUAAAAACAAGGGACACAAGGCUGUGUGGCCAGGUCGUGUAGAAUACCUCAAGCCGUGUAACUUUCGAAAUAAGGACACACAGCCGUGUCCCAACCCGUGUAAUUCUCUGACUUGGGCCACACGGCCAUGUCCCAAGCCGUGUGUCAGCCCGUGUGUGACACUAUACUUAUGCAAUUAUUCCACACGUUCAGGGCACAUGCCUCUGUAUGUUACCCGUGUGUGACACACGGCCGUGUGACAGACCGUGUCUCAAGCCGUGUGCACCUAAAUGUACCGUCAAACUCAAGUUUACCAUUUCCUACUUGCUUGGGCAUUAAGCAAAUUAAAUACCAAUCAUUUAACCUAUGCAAAACACGAUUAAACACACUCAAAACAUGCUAAAACAACCAUCUUAGGUGCCUAACCAAUGUACCCUCAUUGGUACCACAUUUAUAUCUUCAAAACACAUUAACAAAACAUCAUCCAAAUCAAGAUUUCAUGCAUACCAAAUUCACCCAUAUUAACCUAAGAUAUAGCUACCUAAGAUAUCGAGCUUUAAGCUACACAAACAUUUCAAAGCCUUGUGUCAAACUAACAUAUCAAACAUAUGGCUUCAACUACAAAUAUAUACUUAUAUACAAUGACCAUCAUUAUACUUAAAACCCAAAUUUACAUCACACUCAGAAACCAACUAUCAACCAAAGACUUCCUAAUUACAUGCCAUAACAAAAAUAAAUAUCACCACACUUGAGCUCGGGAUUAUUGUUAGAUGCUGAGUCGGUAAUCAAAAGAGGGGUACCUAACCUGCGCACAAAAAAUCAAACCGCACGUUGAGUAAAACUCAAGGGUAUUUCUAUAAUCCGAACAUUUAAAGACAACAUAUGAUACAUGAAAUGCUAAAAUUAAAUUAUACAAUCAUGCUACUAUCUAAAUAUGCAAUUACAAGAUAUCACCAUUUCUAUUUUAUGCAUAUUACCACAUUAUUUCAUGUUAUGCUCAACUUUUACAAGUAUUCAUACAUAGUUGGUUUUUAACAUAUAUUUCAAUUCACAUCACUUGUUAUAUAAAUAACUUUUCAUAGAUCAUUUAACGACUCACUUAUAUAAUGGCAUAAUCCAACCUCAUUUUCAAUCCAUAAGUGGAUUACUCAUAUAUUUCAUUUAUGUUUACAACAUAAUUCACAUUUCAUUUUCCAUUCCACUUUUCAUUUCUAUAUCACAUACUUUUCCAUUUCAAUAUCAAUUACAUAAAUUUAUUAUUCAAUUACCUCUAUUAACUCGACCCGAACUCGGACAAAUGCACGGAUCCAACCAAUACACCAGUUUGGCACCCAGUGCCUCAUCGGAUAAAUUCGAAGUAAUAACUACGCCUAGUGCUAUAUAAAUUGACACUCGGUGUCUCAUCGGUUAAACCGAAGCAAAUUGGCACCUAGUGCCUCAUCGACUCGAGGUCGAAGAAAUCCCUAAACUCUUCCUAUUCUAUGGCAUGCCAUUUAUAUCCAACUUAGCCCGAAAUAGUUAAUAAGGUUCCAUUUCAUUUUCAAUUACAUCAAAUGUCCAAUUCUCGUAUAUGCACACAUAAACAUAUAUUCAAUUUGAUAUUCAUAUAUAAAUGCAUCAUAAUAUACCAAAUCAAUCCAUUUCAAUCAAACAUGAGUUCAAUUCAAUCUCAAAGUACCAAAGUAGUCACCUCAAAUGCUUACUGUAUGCAAUAAUUCAAAUGUAAUCAUUUAUAAUAUAGUUCGGAUUAUAGAAACACAAACCGUGGAUUCCGAGUUAUUUGACGUCGAUUUUAUCUUUUCCUUUUUUAUUCGAAGAUUCCGGUAUGACGGUAGCUAUGGAAUAAAACAAUUAAAAUACAUUAAUACACAAUUUGAUUCCACAUUGAAUAUUUCAAUUUUUACACAAUAUUUGCUUAAAAUUAAAUUUAGUCCCUAAACCAAGACUAAUUUUUAAUCUUCACAUUUAACUCUAUAUUUUUAUACUAAUUUCACUUUAAACUAAAUUUAGCUCCCUAUUUUUAGUUAUACCCUUAAAUUUCAAAUUUUUCAUAAUUUAGUCCUUAUUACUCAAAAUUUACAAUUGAUUCUACAAUUUAGUCCUUUUCCAUUUCUAACUUAAAAACCUAUCAAUUUAAUCCCUAAUACUUAAACUAUUCAAUAAUAACAACAUCUAAAAUCUUAAUCAAGACUAAAAUUUCAACAUGUGUCGGGUAGUUCUAAACACUGGGAUUCCAAAAAUAUAAAAUUUACAAGAAAAAUGACUAAAUUAACUAACCAAUUGAAGUUGAAAAACUAGAAACCCUAAUAUUUGCCGUCCAACACUUCUUUCUUUCUUUUAUUUUUGCAUGCAAUGUUUCCUUCCUUUCCACUUACUUUCUUAAUUCUUUUAUUUUACUUUAAUCUUUUUCUUUUCUUUUAUUAUAACACCAUUUUAUUAUAAUAUAACAUAUAUAUACACAUUUCAUAUUAUUUAUUAUUAUAACAUAUAUACAUAUAUAUAUAACAUACAUAUUAAUGCCGUCUACUAUACUUAGGUAAUUGUAUAAUUGCUACUUCAGUCCCUCAAUUAAUUUUAAUCUAUAAUUCAACUUUUAAUACCUAUGAGAUUUGAUCCCUACACCUAAACAACUUCCAAUUUAUGCAAAUUCACUUAACCAAAAUUUAAUUCACUUCUAAACUAACCUCAUAAAUAUUAAAUAAAAAUAUUUACGGGUUUGUUUUACAGAAACGGAGUUUCGAAUCUCACUAUCCGACACCUUGACUAUCGGAUCGUUACAAAAAAGAAUCUAAGUAGUUAUUUUAAUUAUUACUUAACUACUCAUUAGUUUAAAUAGUGUAACAUUAAAAAUUAAUUAAGAUGAUAAUAAUAGUAAAUUUUUAAAAAAAAAUUAUGAAAAUUCCUAAUUUAUUUUCAAAUUAUAUUUUACUAAAAAGCUUCAAAAGAAACAAAAAAAAUUGGACCACUCAAGCAUUCUAUUUCUAAAGGGAAUAAUAAAAGAACUUUCAAAAACAAAUCCAAUUGCAUUUUUUGGGUUGAGAGAACCAUACGAAUUGAGCGAAAUUAAAAAGGAUUCGAUAAUCAGUAAUAAGAUGAUUCACAAAUCAUCCAUUCAAAUUCAAUUUAUGGCGUGGACAAAUUAUUCAUGAACACAAAAAAAAUAAAAUAAAAGAUCUGACUAAGAGAAUAAACACAAUCAAAAAUCAAAUACAAAAAAUUCUAAUUAUAAAAGACAAGAAAAAUGAAUUUCUAACUCAAAAAAUAAAUAGUAGUUUUAACCAAAUAAGUUAUCAAGAGAAAGAAUUAAUAAAACAACUAAAAAUACAACUCAUUUUAUUUCAACUAUAAAAACCUCACCUUCUUAGAGUUAUAUAAAUGUUAUAAUUUAAUUAUUAUAAAAUUAAGACAAUUAAUACAAUAAUUUUAUUUUUAAAUAAUUUAAAAAAUAUAUAUUUUCAUAUCAAUUGUAAAUUAUAUUUGUUAAUAUUAGUUUAUACGUAUUAUGGAAUAAUUAAUCUAUAUUUAUUUAUAUAAAAAACACUGUUCGGCAAAAGAAAAAAACUUAAAAUUACUACGUGUUAAGAUAAAUACAAAAAAGGAAACCUAGAAAAGAAAUAUGUGGUAUGUAUUUAUAAAUAAUUUUUAUGAAAAUGAAAAAAAAAGAAAAAGAAAAGAAGACAUGCCAAAAUAUUGAAAAACAAAUUAAAACAUUUAUAAAUAAUUUUUCUCCUUUAUUUAAUCAUUACGAUACAAAUUUAUUAAAACAAUAUAAUAUCUAUUUUUUUAUACAAUACCUACAAUUACUCAUAAAACCUCAUCAACUCAUAAAUAAAAUGAUAAUGUAUUUCAGAAUACUUGAACCCACAUCCUCUUACAUGAGUAUUGUCGAGUUAAGACUCAAUUGACAUGUAAUAUAUGUAAUUGAAGUUGAAAGAGAUUCUAUAAAGGUACAAGCCAAAUACUCAAAUAGAAAAAAAAAAAGUAACAUAAAGUAAAUAAAAUAAAUUGUAAAUGAAAUUAUUUAAAAUUGUAAAAUUAAAUUUUAUAACAUAAGUUUCAAAAUGAAAUACGUACAUAACGUCAAAAGAAAUGAAUUAAAGAUUUUUGUGUCGAGGGAAAUUUUGAAGAUUUCAUAUUAAUCCAUUAAUUAGAAAGAAAAUAGUGACUAUUGAAUACUAAAACUAUCCUAUCAAUUCAAAUAAAAUACCAAAGGUAACCCCAUUGAUACUUUUAAAUAAUAAUAAGUGGGUUUUUUUUACCCUAAUUACUCUCUCUAAUAAUUGGUUUUAUAAUAGAUAUUAAUGAUAUAAUUUAUUAAAAACAAUUAAUUAGAGAAAAAAGAUUUUUUUGGAAAUUAAAUAAUAAUCAAACUAUAAAUAAUUAAAAUAAAAUCAUAAAAAUUCAAUUAACUUUUAUUUUUUCGAAAUACUUAAAUUACCUUUAUUAAAUCUUAAUAUAAAAUUGUCCCUAUUAAUUUUUUAUAAUAUCUACUUUACCCCUAUUAACUUUAAAUAAUACCUACUUUACGUUUAUUAACUCUUAAUAACUCCUUCGGAGCUGGUUUUGUUAUAUAAUGAGAAUAUCUCAAUUUUGGGAUUUUCUUCAUUCUUUUUUUUUUAAUUGGUUGAAACCUUUAAAUUUUAAGAUAGUUUUUGUCACAAAUUUGUUAGACAUAAGAGGUAGAAGAUUUUUCUUACCAAAUUCUACCAUAAAAAUGUGGUAUAAAAGUAUCAACAUGGCUAACUUUGGUAUUUUAUAUUGCUGUAAUGAACUUACAAAAGAAAGAUUUAGUUUAGAGGUUACCUCACCUUGAAGAUAAUAUAUCAUAUUGCAAAACUUGACAACUUGGCAGGCUAGCAAGGCUUCCUUUCAAAAAAGCAACUUGGAGAGCUAUUGAAAAGUUGAAAUUAAUCCACGCAGAUUUAGCUAGACCUCAAAAAACUUUGUCACUCAAAGGAAGUAAGUAUUACAUAGUUUUUAUUGAUGAUUAUACUAGGAUGUGAUGGAUUUAUUUCCUCAAAUUAAAGUCAGAGUUGCUAGCAUGUUCUAGAAAUUCAAACAAUGGGUUGAAACUCAAAGUGGUCGUAAGAUUCAAGCUUUAAGGUUUGAUAAUGGCAAGGAGUGCACACCUUAUCAAUUCAAAUUGAACACCAAGCCACUAUUCCAUAUACUCCACAACAUAAUGAAGUUAGUGAGAGGAAGAACCGUACCAUAAAGGAGAUGACUAGAUGUUUGUUGUUUAAGAAGUGCUUGCCAAAAGAGUAUUGGGCAGAAGUUGCACAUAUUAGUCUUUCUACUCAACAGGCUUCCGACAAAAGUAGUGGAAAGAAAGACACCGUUUGAAGUCCGAUAUGGUUAUAAACCUUCUUUAAAAAUUCUCAAGGUGUUUAGACGCUUGUGUUUUGUUUACGUGUCACAGAUCAAAAGAGAUAUACUGGACAAAAAGGCAGAAGCUGGAAUCUUUGUGAGUUACAACACAAUUUCUAAAGCUUAUAGAGUUUUCCAACCUCACACAAAGAAAAUUUUGAUAACUAGAGAUUUGCAUUUCAUGGAGGAUGAAUAAUGGAACUAGAAAGAAGUACGACUAACAUCAAUUCCAUAUCAAAGUAAAAAGCUCCAAUUGAAAGAAGAUGAACUUGUGGAUGAUGUAAAGACCUGAUAGUUACGGGUAUCAAAAAGUGUAUUUGUGAGUCUCUAUUUUCGUAAAACGAAUUUGUAAAUAUUUAUUAAAAAUAUUUACGAAGUCAGUUGUGUGUUUAAUUAAGUUUUGGUUAGAUGAAUUAGCUUGAAUUAAAAGUAAUUAGGUAAAAAGAUUAAAUUGCAUAUAAGGUAAAAUUUUAAUUAUAGACUAAAGAAAAGUAAAAGGACUAAAGAAGCAAUUAAUACUUAUCUAACAAGUGUAUGGUAAAAGUAAUAUCAUGUGUGCAAAUAAUAUACAUAUGUAUAUAAUAAUAUAUGUAUACUUAAACUUAUAUUAUAUUAUAUUAUAUUAGUAUAAUAAUUAAAGAAUAAAACAAAAUAAAUAAAAGAAAAAGAAACAAAGAAAUUGAAACGAAACAGAGGGAAAAAGAGAGAGAAGAAAGAGAGAAAGAAAGGAGAAAAGUUAGGGUUUUUUAUUGUUCAAAAUUUAAUUGGUAAGUUAAUUUAGUCUUUUUUUCUUGUAAUUUUUAUAUUUUUAGAAUUCGGUGUUAAAUAUUAUUUAACCUAUGUUGAAAUUUUAGAAAUUAUUAAAUUAUUAAAUGUUAUUCAUGUUGAAUAAUUUAAGUAUUUGGGAUUAAAUUGAUAGAAUUUUAAGUUAUAAAUGAAAAAUGGGUUGAAUUGUAAAAUAAAUUAUAAAUUUUGAGUAAUAAAGACUAAAUUGUGAAAAUUUUAAAAUCUAAAUAUUUAAGUAAAAUUAAAAAGUUGAAUUUAGUCUAAAGUAGAAAUUAAAUGAAAAUAUGAAAUUAAUUUUGAGGAAAUAAAGUUAAGUAUCAGUUUAGUAAACUUUUUUUCUAUAUAAACAUUAGUUUGUGGUCCAAUAAAACACACUUUUCAUGGACAAAAAUUAUUUCUACUUUAUUUUUGCCUUUAUUAUAUCUUUUGCGGUAAAAUUCUCAAAAACUCUAAUAAAAAAAAUAAUUUAUUUUGCAAUUCUACCACGUAAGCUGUUGAAAAUAUUUGUAUAAGGCAAACCGAUCCAACCAUCUCCCUAACCCAUUUUGCUUUUGUUAUAGGCCACCAAAUUCAAUCAACAUUUUCAUUCCUCAUGAAGCUUUUCAUGCCCUCCAGAAAGGAAAUUGGGGUUAUAAGGGAAGUAUUACAAUGAAGGGCAAAAACAUAUGACAAGGUUGAUUGGACCUUUAUGAAGAAAUUGCUCGAGGAAAUGGGAUUUGUUGAAUUGUGAAGGAAAAUUAAUAGUUAUUUCAAAUAUAGGACUUCAACAAAGCGACCCAUUUCACCCUAUCUCUUCAUCAUUGAGAAGGUAGUGAAUGAAUGAUACCUUGAAGGUUCCAAAAUUAACCUAACAUGUCCUUUCAUUUAAAAAUUUAAAUAAUAAUAUUAAUUGAAUAUUAAUUUAAUUAAUAUUAUUAUCAAUAUAAAAAAAAUUAUAUAUUCAAAUAUACUAAAACGUUUUAUUCUCGUACAUAUAAGAGAGAAACUAUGAGUAAAAAGUUAUACAUCUAAAAAUUGAAAACUUGAAGAAAAAAAUUGUUGAAUUUUGGCUUUUAUUUUACGGAUAAGAAAAGAAAGCGUAAAAGACAAAAAUACCCCAUGUGGAAGACCAGACUUCUAGAUCUAUGUAUGACCCUGGGAUUCCCAAUUGAUAUAAAUGAUGUGGUGGGGUCCCCCAUGUGGAGGUUGGGGAAAUGACGUCCUUGUCCAUACUCUCCUCCCCCAUUUACGCAUCUACACGGUUCUACAUUUGCCAUUUGGUAGCCUUGCUUUUGUGCUACACUAUUCACUCUUUUGCCAAAUUUAUUUGUACAAAGUAAAAGAAGAAAAAAAUUCAAUGCAUUUUAACCCAAAGUGAAUUUGAUUGCAAAAUAUAUUUAUUGUAUUUAACUUUAAUUUUAAUAUUUAAUUUGGUAUUAAUAUUAAUAUUAAUAAAUUAUUCGAUAACUUUGAUUUUGUAAAUAAUAUUGGUAUGUCCAACAAAUUUGACUUCUAGUUUCUCUUCUUCUUUUACCUACGAAUAAUUAAUAAAUAAGUUGGGUUAAUCUUGUUUAGAAAAAGUUAAUUCUUUAAUUAGAUGAACUAUGUAACUAAACAUAUUCCCACUAUGAGGACACUGCAUACUUAUAGGCACCUCUAAUUUUAUAAAAAAAGAAAAAAAGAAAAAAAUUAUUAAUUUUUUGUCUUUUUAAUCAUUUGACUUAUAUUAUUUAUUAAAUUAAUAAAUUAAUGAUUUUUUAAAAAAAUCAUUAAAAAUUUAAAAAAAAAACUAAUAUUAUAAAAAGGUACAUCACAUGAAACGACAGAAUAAUUUACCCAAUGUACUAUAAAGCUGUAAAAUAAUCUAGGCAUUUCCAAGACAAAACAUUGUGAGGCAUAGCAAUAAUUGAUUAGCAGCUUCACAUUGAAAUCUUGUUGAAGAUUGAUAAGUUGUGUGGUAGAUAUAAAAAAAGGGUUGAUGAUAGCAUAUCACUUCAAAAUAAGUCAAAAUCUCACAUGGUUUCACAACAAAACUAUGAACAUAAUAGUUUAUAAUAAUUCUUUUAAUCUCAUUUAUGAAACAUGAUAAACAGAUCCAAAUCCAUUUGGAUUCAACUUUUAAAAGUAGAUUUAGAUCUCAUCCAAAUUGUAAGUUUAUGAAAUUGAUGAUGUAGCCACAUGAUUAAUACUACUUUAUUUUUCUAAUGGGCUGAUUUUGGUGUUUUUUUAAGGAGGGGUUGUUAAUCAUGGAAAACUUUUUUAAUUCUGAAAUCCACUCUAAAAUUUCACUAAUAAGUAGUUUAUAAUAAUGAAAGGAAUAGACGAACUAAAUAUUAUUAUUACUAUCAAUUUCAUAAUAUAAUAAUUGAAACAACCAAAACUCACUUCUUAAAUAAUAAUUAAUCAUAAACAAUAUGUUUUGGAACUUUUGGCAACUACUUUACCCACCACCUUCAUUAUGACUCAUCUUCAACCUCAAUCAAUUUUUUAUUUUAUGUAUAUAUAUAUAUUUAAACUGUUUAAAUUCAAAGUAUAAAAUAUUAUAAAUGUUUAUGUCCAAAAAAAAAAAUUAUCCUUUCAAUUUUAUGCAUUCUAUCAAUUUAAUUUUAAUUCUAAUUUGACAGAAUUAAGUUGUUAAUUUGAAAUUUUUAAGAAUCAAGAUUAAAUUGAUAGCAUGUCUAAAGUUGAGGGUUAAAUUCUUUUUUUUUAAAAAAAAUUAAAACUAAAUUGAUAGUUGAAAGGUUAAAUUUGUUAAUAUGUCAAAAAAAAAAAAAGAUUAUGUCAACAUUCCAUUAAUGACUGGCCAAGAUAUUAAAUGUCCAUAACAUUAGAAUUUUUUUAACUUGAAUGAUUAAAACAAAAAUACGUUAAUAAUUGAGUGACUAAUUCUUUUAUCUACCUUUUAAUAUUAUUCAAGGAGUCACAUAAACAAUUAACGUUUUCUACCCAUUAAUAUCAACAAGUACGUAAUGUGGAGAAAACAGAGCUUUGAGCAAUUUAUGACGGUUUUAUUAUGGCAUAAGAUGCUAAAUGGAGAUAUGUUGCUAAAACGGGUUGUGUACUUGCUAUUAAAGGGAACAAUGGCGAUUCAAGAGGGUAUUUACAUAGAGAUUUGGUUCUAAGAAUUCAGGAGUUAUGUAGUCGAGAUUGGAACGUUAUCUUUGAGCAGAUCUUAAGUUAGAUAAAUUUUACCGCUCACUUGUUAGCUGAAAUGAUGAAAGAUUUCCCAGUUAGCGCCUAAAUAUUCCAUAGGGAUCCCUCUUUAAUCCGUCACUAGUUAAAGAUAGAUAAUAUGUCCGUACUUUCAACUCCCUCUAGAUCCUAUUAGUUUAGUAAUCCAUUUUCUUGUUAAAAACAAAAAUAACUUUUCUACCCAUUUGUUUAGAAAUUUUGAAAUUGAAAUGAAUGAACAAAGUUUACAACAUAAGAAACGUAAACGACUUGUUGAUUAUAAAAUUCAAUAUAUGACAACUGGUAUGAAUCUAUUAUCAAAAAGUUGGAAGCAAAUUGAAUUACUCCACUAUAAAGUAUAAAACCGCAUUAAUGAACAAAAACCAAAUGUGUUAAAAUAUUUGGAUGGAAUUGGAAUAUUCCAAGAAUAUGAAAGCAAAACUUUGACUAUAUAUAUUAUAAGGGUAAGUUAUACUAUUAAUCACUAAACUAUUAGUAAAUUUAUGUUUUAGUCGUUUAGCUUUAAAAAGUUACAAAAUGGUCAUUAAACUAUUCUCAAGUUUUCAUUUAAGUCACUGAAAUAUUUGAAUUUUUUUAUUUAAGUUACGGGACUGUUAAUUUUUGGGUAAACUACACCAUUAGCCACUAAACAAUGGGUAAGUUUUCGUUUUAGUCACUUAACUAAAAAAGUUACAAAUUGGUCACUGAACUAUUCAAAAGUUUUCAUGUAAGUCAUCGAACUAUUCAAAAGUUUUUAUUUAAGCUACUAGACUAUUAAGUUUUUUUUUUUAAGUUCCACCAGCGAGCUCCAAGCAACAAUUUAACAAUGGGUAUGGUGGAUCAGUACCCAUUGAUGAGUAGAAGAACAUAUCUUAUAUUCAAGCCGAUCUGAUAGUCAGUGAAAGAGAAAGAAGAAAAAUUUAUUUGAAUUUUGGUUCACAAAUUUGUGAUGUCCAAAGCUAUUUCAUAAAAAAAAAUGAACUGUAGAAUGGAAAGGGAAAAAGAGUUUUCGAUUAGUGUGAAUAGAUAAAGGCAUAUAGCAUCAAUUUUAACAACCCUAGUGGCUUAAAUGAAAACUUUUGAAUAGUUCAGUGACCAAAUUGUAACUUUUUUAGUUUAGUGAUUAGAAUGAAAACUUACCCAUAGUUUAGUGACUAAAGGUGUAGUUUAUCUUAAAAUUUUUAAAGAAAAAGUUCAGCUAGCGAGCUCCAAGCAACUAUUCGAUGAUCGAUAUAAUGGAUGUAACACCCAACACUCGACUCGAUCGUCGGAUUCAAAUGCAUGAUGUCACAUUACGUUGCCGGAACAACUCAGGCUAAUUCAUUUACUUAAAUAUAAAAUUUAAAUCAUAAUUAAUUAUCAUUCAAACCAAUUUAAAUCAUCAAUUAUUCUCACACAUAUGCAUUCAUAGUAUUUAGGAUUCAAUUAAUCAUGUUUUAAGGUUAUGCAAGGUUAAAGUUAGAGUUAGAACUCGAAUCUAAACUCAACUAUCAAGUUUCAAUGUUGUGUCUCAAGACAAAUGACUUAUUGUCUUGAGACUAGCCUCAUUUUAUUUUGGAUAUUUUAGUUUCAAUGUCAACAUAUCUCGAGACACUAGAAGUAGUUUCUCAAAGCAAGGUUCUUUAUGUCUUGAGACCAAUCUCCCUUAUUUCCUUAAUUUCGCUUCGGUGUUGGAAUGUCUCAAGACCUGGAACAGGGCAAAACUAAUUUAGCUUCAAAGUUUACUUGUCUCUAGACAAAGGCCACUUAUCUCGAGACUAGUUUGCUAAGUCUCGAGACACUAAGCAUGUAGGUUAUAAUAUAAGGUAAAUUUUGUUCUCGUGAUCUCGAGACAUGAUCAUGUUGUCUCGAGACUCAAUGGCAAAAUGACCCUAAAUACAAAUUUUCAAGCAUCCAAACUAUACCAAAUGACACCUUAAGUAUACAUAAACUUUACAUCAUAGUAAAACCAUCAAUCUAGCACAUAUAAACACAAUCAAACGUCAUCAAAUCAUAACCAUCAAUGUAUCAUUAUUUAACUAACUAUUUCUCAAAAUCAAACUUGUAUAAACUAGAAUAAUUAUCCACUAAUUAAAUGUUAAAGUUCAUUUUAUAAAACCUUAUAUGCCAAAUACCAAAUAUACCAAAAUAACCACUUAAACAACAUGCUCAAAACAACCUAGGUACAUAUCAUUUCGACUCAAACACAUAUAUACAUACAAAAGAGGUAGCAAAAUGAUUCCCAAGCUAAGUUGUUGAGAAUGGAUGCUUUGACAUUUUCAACCUAUGAAAAUCUUUGUUUGAAACCUGCAUAUGAAAAUAACAAACUAUACGCUAAGUAUUUUAAACUCACUAGUGCUAAUAUAAUUCAAAUACAUUUCAUUACGAAUAAAAUAAAGUAAAUAUAUACAUAUAAUAUGUAUCAAUCACAUUCCAAUAUCAAUUUCUAUAAUUAUUCAUUUUGGCCCCUAUUAUCCUUUAACGAUAGACAUUAAAACGAAUACUCGGAUCUAUAUAUAUCGAGUAAGUCCACACCCUCUAGAAACUAAGACUAUUUUAUUUUGUCAUCUCGGGUUGCUCAACAAUGAUAACUUUAAGUAUUUUUUUAUUUUACCACCUCGGGUUGCUCGACAACGAUAGCUAAGAAAUCACUAUAUCGGUAACCCGAUGACAUGCUAGCUAUACUCGAACCCCGUCUAAUAUCAUUUAAUGUGGCACUAACAUCAUAAUCACCAUUUUAACAUAUAUCAUUGUAAUAUCAAUGACCAAAUUUUUAUAUUUACAUCCAAAACAAAUUUGAACAUUUAUCACAUAAUUCAAGUAUCAUCAACUCCAUUACUCAAAGUUUUUAGAGGAAAGAUACCAUUAUCUCUAUGCAUAGUCACACUGAUUAUAAUGACUAAUUAAUUUACGAAAAUAAAUUGAAAUUGAAUUAUAGAAGUAUGAACCAGAAGUGACUAUUCGUUAAUGACUUUAUCUUUUCUUUUUUCGCAAGACAAUCCUACGUCAUCUUUAGCUAUAAAAGUUCGUUAUUUAUACAAUUCAAAUAAUUUACAAUAAUUUAAACAUGAAUGCAUUUAUUACAAUUUAUUAAAUUAUUUUAUAGCUCUUAACUUAAUUUAUAACUAGGUCUCUCUUCUUUUUUAAAUUAAAAAUUCAAUAGCAAUUCUAUUUUUAUAAUUUAAUCCCUAACUAUAGUUAUUAAUCAAUUCAUGCUAAUUCUACUAAAUAAUUUAAUCUAUCACUAUCGCAGAUGAUAUGUAAAUAUUUACUUUUCAAUCGGGUUUUUUUAACACCAUUGAAAAUUGAAUCGUUACAAUGGAUUAGUACUCAUCGACAAGUAGAAGAAUAUACCUUAGAACCAUGUCGAUCUGACUAUUAGUGUUAAAGAUCGAAGAAGAAAAUUGUUUAGAUUUUGGUUUAUAGAUUCGUGACAUUCAAAGUUGUUUCAUAAAAAAACUAAAUAGUAGAAAAGAAGGGUAAUAAGAGCUUUCGAUUGACAUAUGACGACGACUUUAACAACCCAGUGUCCUAAAUAAAAACUUAAGAAUAAUUCAAUGAUUAUUUUGUAACUUUUUAAAAUUAAAUGACUAAAAUAUAAAACUUACAUAAUAAUAUAAUGAGCUUAGAUACAAUUUACCCUAAACUCAAUAAUGAACAAAAACACAAAAAGUCGACAAGACAAGACAAGUAACAAGUGAGGAGUGACAAGCACACAUGAAAAUCCAGUGAUAAUUGAGCUGUCAUGAUCCGUACGUUUCACCAUGUGACAUAUAAGUACACAUAUGUAACAACGACAAAUACGAUAAGACCUAACCCUUUUUUUCGAAAUAAAAAUGAUAGGAAAGAAAGAAAAAGACAUAGCAUAUUAUUAGAUUUUUAUAUAGUUUUAAAUUAGAUACAAUUUGUAUAGAAAGUAAUAUAUUUGAUAAAAUUAGAGAUUAUGAAAUGUGAACAUACCCUUUAUUUUUUCAUACAAUGUUUGGAUUAUACGGUUUUUUGUACUUUGUAUUUGGUGAGAAAAUUCAACAUUUUCUGCGGAGAUUAUGGCAAAAUUGAUAGAAACCUUAUACCCACUUUCUCUUUUAUUUUAUAUAUAUAUAUAUAUAUUAUUCCCUUUAUGUAUCAUGGGGAAUCUCAACGACCAUACAUGAAUAUAUAUAUUUUUUGAAUAAUUUAAUUUUUUUUCUUCUCAUUUAGUUUUAGUAAAUGAAAAACAUUGAAAAAUUAUAUUAAAAAAAUGGAGAAGGGAUGAUAAAAUAAGGAGAAGCAGAAGAAAGUGAAAAAAAAUGAAAAAAAAUUAAAAGAAUAUAAAAAAAAUUUAAAUUGUUCAAAAUGAAAAAUAUGUGGACUAAUUGUAUAAUUUAACCUAAAUUUUUUAUUUAAAAUGAUGAUUUAACAUGUCUCGUCACAUUAGCUUACCGUUACACCAUUAACAACAAUUAACGUCUCAGUGAUUAAAAUGUUACAACAUAUUUAUGUAAAUUGACGAAAUGUAAUAUUUUAAACAUAAAUGAUUAAAAUUUAACCAGAGGUAAACAAAAAUGACUAUUUUAAUAAUUUACUCUAAAAAUUACAAUUAUAAUUAAUAUGUAUCAAAUAUGCAGUCCCUCCUAUGAAUUAGGGGUGCUUGAAUAACUAUAACCGUACCAACCAUUAUAAAUUAUAAUUAAUUGAAAUGAAAUUAGAUAUAAAAUUGAAUAUCAUCAGCAGAAAAUAAAAUUUAAACUAAAAUUUUAUAUAAUUUAUACGAAUAAACUCGAAUUUAAAAUUUCUAAAUUUUAAAAGUUUUAAUUUUGUCAUUAAAUUAAUUUACUUUUUAUGAUGAUUUUGUUAUAAGCAUAAUCACUGAUUUAACAUGUGAGAGUGCUCAAAAAUAAAGUGAGCAAGUAAUUAUAGUAAUUAAUAUUUACCGAUUGAGUUUUAAUUUGAUUGGUAUGAAUAUUAUUAUUAAUAUAAAAUGAUAUAAGUUUGAGCGCGUUGAAACAUAUUAUUUUCUUUUAUAUAUUAAAUUGUGGCACAUGUGAUCGCUGUAUUUUGUGUGAAUUUUAUGUUUUCAAAUGGAAUCUCGAAUUUUCUUCAUAAGUUAAUUUUUUUUUCUUCAUUUACUUUUAUGGGUAUUUGGCAAAGCCCGAUUGGUACUGAUGAUGGGCUAAAAUUAUUUACCGAAUACUAGUUUAACUUGUGGGGUUUUUAUGUACUUAAUUUUUUAAAAUUAUCUUUGAUUGUGUUUGUAUCAAUUAUUAAUCAGGUUUUAAUUUAGUUGUAAAAUAAAAAUUAUUAUUUUAUAAAAUAAAAUAUAUUAUUUUGAAUUUAUUUUUAUCAUUUUUAUCUUUUACAUAAAAAUAACAAUAUAUAUACAUAAUAAAAUUUGAAUCCAUACCUUUAUAAUUUUCAACAAAAUUAUUUUUCAGUUUAACCAAAGUUUAAUUUAUUAUUUGUAUAAUUUUUUAUGAAUAUAUUUGUUCCAUAAUAUUAUUUUUUUACUCAUAAGUAUGCUAUAAUAAUUAUUAUUCAAUUUGUAAUUUGUAUGUCUUUUGUUUGUAUGAAUAUACUCUCAACAAAUGAGCAUGAUCAUCUUGUUUUGUACUCCAUGCUUAGCAACUAGAAAUCUUACAAUUUAUUAUAAAAAUAUUGUAUUUAAAAAAAUAUUUAGAAAAAUAUAAUAAUUUUUAUUUAUUUAAAAAAAUAUAAUAUUUUUUUCUCUCUAAAAAAGUGAUCCCAUCAUGUCAAACGAUGGGUUCACUAUACAUGUGACAUGUACCACACUUUAUAUGGUUUUUUUAAUACAAAUGGUCAAAUUUUCAUGUGUCAACUUCUUGGCCAGAUAUUAUUACUUUUAAAGUUUAAAGUGUGACAUGUGUCACAUGUAUAAUGAACUUACUAUCGAGCAUAACGAAAUCACUUUUUGAUGAGAAAAAUUUAGCAUAUUUUUUCAAAUAAUUAAAACUCACCUUAUUAUUCUAAAUAUAUUUUUAUAAUACAAUAUUUUUAUAAACUACUCAAAAUCUUAAAAUGUUAUUGCACUUAAAAUUUCGGUUGUCUGAUUCUAUCAUGAAGAAAAGUGUCUUAGAAUCUAGUUACUUUACGUUUGGCUAUAGUCCAUAUGCAUUUGAUUGUUGUUUGACUAUUGAUUCAUCUGCGUUGUUUAUGUAAACUUUUAUGUGUUUAGAUUUUUUUAUCGUAAUUAAGGUAUUCACCAUUAGUAAUAGUUAUUAAAGAAGUGAACGGUUGUUUAUGAAAUGAAUUUUAUUAUCAUGAGUGGAGAUCAAACACCUGACCAUAUGACUAAAGAAUUAGGUGAGUAACCGUGACAAGUUGUUUGUCAUGUUAUGUUGCAAAUUGUUUUGCUUUACCUGCUUUGGUCUUUGUUUGGCAUGGAUAUGCAUAAAAAUUGAAGUCUUCAAACUUGAUUAUGGCAUAAAAGUAGGAACUUUAUAUGAAAUUCAUGCAUGGAUUAAAAAUGGAUACUCUAAAAGCAUGACAAAUGUUGUUAAGUAUGAAAAUGAGUUUACUUGUAAAGGCUAAAGGUUUUAAAUUAAGCAUGAAAAAUGUUUAUACACUAUGAUGAACACGAGAUUUCCAUGCAAGGUAUUUGAGUUUAAUUUCUUUAUUUCAUUAAUUUAGUUAGUGGGUAUUUUGUGGAUUGAUUAAUCUAUGUAUUUUAUCAACUUAGUUGCUCUCUUCAACACGUGUGUAUCUCUGUAUGAAUAUGUGCAUGAGUAUGUAUAAUUAUGGUUAUGUGGUGUGUUUGUUGGACAUAAUUAUAUGUAUGUGUUUUGAAUUUGUAUUAUGUUUUUAUGUGUGCUUUAGAUUAUGUCCUAUGCCAAUAUAUAUCGCGUAUGUGUGUGAGGGGAAAUUAUAUUAUGGAUUUUUUUAUUAUAUUAUUUAUGGAUUAUUUUUAAUUAUUUAAUGAUAUUUCAGUAAAUUUUUUUCUAUGUUAUUAAUAUAUAACUUUGGAAAUUUUUUUUACCCUUAACCUUAAACCUUAAACCUUAAACUUCGAACUCUGAAUCCUAAAUCAUGAACUUGAACCCUAAACUUUGAACCUGAACUCUAAACCUUAAAUUUUAAACUCUAAACUUGAAUCUCAAACUUAGAAACCCUAAACCACAAAUCGAAUCAAGUUUGAGUUCAGGAUUCUGGUUUUGAGAUUCGGGAUUCAGGGUAAAAAAAUUACCAAAAUUAUGAGUCAAUGACAUGAAAAAAAUUAUUGAAAUGUCAUUAAAUAAUUGAAAAAAUUAUAAAUAAUAUGAUAAGAAUAGUCCAUUAAAUAAUUUCUGAUGUGAGGGUGCUUAAAAUUUAUGUGUUAUGUUGUGAUAAUGUUGUAAUUUAAAUUUGUAGUUUUUUUUCAUAUUUUAGUUUAAUUUCAUAUUACCAUUGAUAUUAGUUUAUUUAAUUAUAUUAUUGCUUUCAUGCAUGUUCAUUAAAGGGUUUUAAGUAAUUUUAAAAAAUAAAGCAACAUUUUAGCAUUAGGGAGAUUGUUGAGAUCAUUGCCUAAUAAUAAUAAUAAUAAUAAUAAUAAUUGUGUUUAGAAUCUUUUGCGCUUUAAAAUUAAAUUCACUCGAUUAAUAAAAUUUGUGUUCAUAUUUUAAUUUUAUGAGAUCAUAAUUAAAAGAAAUUUAAUAAUUUGUUUUUAAAAAGAAAAUUUAUAAGUGAUCAAUUACACUUAGCCAUUGUUAAUAAAAAAUGUUGUUUUAAAAAGUAAAAAUUUUCAUAUAUGCUCAUGUUAAUCAAAUUAAUUUUCAUUUAAAAAUAAUUUUAAUGUCAUAAAAAAUGUAUUUUAAAAAAUUAUGCAAAAAAUUAAUAUGAUUUUUAGUCGAAAAAGUAAAAUUAAAAUUUUGGGAUUUUGAAGUAUUCAAUAUUCAAAAUAUACAAUUUAUUUAGAUUUUUAAUUUGUUAAGUUUGAUUAAAUUGAAGGUUUUAUCUAUUUCCUAUUGACUUUUUCUACUAAACAUUAUAUUGGACCUUUAAUAGAUUUUGCAAUGAAAUUAAAUUGCGAGAUUUCGUUAUUAUUGGAGAUAUAUAUAUUGGUAAUAUUUAAGAAGUGACUAAUAUCCUAGAAAUCCUUAAACUAAUAUACAUUAUUCAAUUAAGUCUUUCAAAGCCUUUAUUGAUAAAAGUCCUGAUUUUAUUUAAGAGUAUCUUUUGAAACAUGAAAGUGUCUAUAUUAUAUUUAAGUAUUUGUAUUGUUUUGAUAACUCAAAAAUAAUUUUAAUCACAUUAUUAAGAAUUAAUUAUAUUUUUAUUGCCAAUAAAUUUGUGAAAUGUCUCGAACUAAAAUAAUAAUAAUAAUAAUAAUAAUAAUAAUAAUCUUGAUGUGUUGGUCCAAAUCACAAAAAGAAAAGAAAAGAAAAGAAAAAAAAACUAUUUUCCUGAUUAUUAUUUAAAUUCAACAUACCAAUUUUACCCGGCAAUAGACCUAUUUAUCCCUAUCUAUUUAAAGGAAUAAAAGUAUAAAGGUUUUAUUUUUUUUAUUAUUAGAGUUUUCGACUAAAUUAAUAUUAUAUGUUAACUGAAUGUAACUCAAUUGAGAGACAAUAAAAAUAUAUUUAUAAACAAAUUUAACAUUCAUAUAAAAUAGAGUCAGUGGCAGAAAAUUUAUUUUUGGAGAAUCGAAAUUAAAUUAUAUAUUUUUACGAUAGUAAAAAUAUAAUUUCAUCAUUUUAAUAAUUUAUAUCUUUGUAAUUUUUUAAGAAUUAAAUCAAUUUUUUUUAUUUUUUUAGGUCAAAGUGAAAUUUACCAUUAUUAAUUUAAAAUUUUAUAAAUUAUAAAAAGCCUAAAUGGAAAAGUUUCCAUUUUAGGGGGACCGACCCCCUGGCUCUAGGGGUGUUUAAACUUCAAUUAAAACUGAAUCAACUGACCAAACUGAUCUAAUUUGGUUAAUCAAUCGGUUAACCGAUCUAGUUCGGUCGGAAGUCGGUUAAAGGUUUUUUGGAAUUUAGGUUAAUGGUUAAUUUGGUUCAAAAUUGGGUAAUUAACCGAAUUAACUGAAUUAACCGAACUUAAUAAAUAAUAUUAUAUAUUAUAUGUAUUAAGCUAUUACUAGUCUGAUUAAUUCGAUUAAUUUGGUCAAAUGAACAUUAUAAAAUUUUUUUGAUAUGUUUUAUACUUGUUUUAACAAAAAAAAAAGUGAAACAUAUUGAUUCAGUUAACUGAUCGAUUAACCCAUUGAACACCCUGCCUGAUUCCACGACUGAAUAAGGAGUAUAAAUAUCAUUAAAAAAAUUUAAAUAUUUUUGUUAAUUAAAAUAUAAUUAUUUUAUUUAUAAAAAACCACCCACUUCAUAUAAACAAAUCUCUUUAACCUAAAAUUUUAUGAGAAAAGAAACUAAGAUUGGGCCCAAACAUAUGUCUCUCCAUGAACCUUGAUUUAGUACAUGUUUUGAACAAAGCUUAAAAAAAGCCCAACAAUGGUUCUCCAAAACUCGAUGGCCUUUUUAUUAUCCUUUCAAAACUAGAGGCCCAUGUUUUAUUAUUGGACUAUUUAUUACGUCAUUAUAACCCAAAACCAACGGGACUAAAGACCACAGGGACACAGCAAAUGGAUGAUGUCGUUUCUACUGUCAAGUCAUACUUUUUUAUUUCAUUUCCUUGGACUUCUCAAAGUUACCCAACGUUUUAGUUAGCUUGUUCAAAGGUGUCAUUCAGGGGAGGUGGCUUCCAUCUAAUUUAAUCUGAUUUAUUAUUUAACAAUAAAUUAUUAAUUAAAUUUUAGAUACAUACAUAAAUGUUGGGUUUUUUUUUUACAUAAUUUAAUAUUUUUUAAAUAGUUAAAUUGUUGACAGAAAAUUGAUUCAUUCUCUGAGUCUGAUAGUCGGAAAAAUAGGAGAAUGGGAGUUUAGUAUGUUAGGAUUUUGAUAGGGGAGAAGACUCUUCAUUCUAUGUUGUAUUUUGGAGGUAUUUUAGUGACUUCUAGAUAGUCCUCUCUCAAGGAGAAUGCACCUAUUAAUAGGGGGUAACCUAAUAGAAGGUUUAACUAGAUAGUAAAGGAUGAAUGGUACUCUCUCCCUCCUUUUCAAUUAGUGACAUGAGGCAUGCGAGUAGUUGAUUACUGAGUGAUCAUUAUGACUAUUUAAGGUGGAGGGUCAUUCACAGUUGCCUCUUUGUCUGCUUCUCAUGAUGUUACGUGUCCCAAUCAAGGUAGAAGUAUAAUAAUUUUCUUCUUAAUUGAGAUGUAGGUUAUAAAGUGACAUGGCUCGAGACCGUCUGUAGAUUGUUUUUGUGAGUGGUAGCUAUUGAAGAUAAAGUAUCAGGUGCCAGCUUGGAACGGUUCACCCUUACAAGGCGAAGAGCAAAUGACCUAAUUUUAAUUUGAUUUUUGAAUUAAAUAAUUUGAAAUUUAAUGAUAGUUAAAAUAAUAUAUUUUUCUAAAUCCAUCUACUUAAAUAUCCAAGUAUGAUCAUUAAGAUUUCAAAAUUAGAUUAAUGAUUAAAUUGAUUAUACUAUAUUCUUUAGUUUAAUCGGUGUGACUAAUUCAAUUAAAUAAAUUAUUAAAGAUAAAAGAAACAUGAUAGAUACAUAAAUGAGUACCCACUAUGAGUAAAAAUAAAAGGAAAAGAGAUAAGGUUUAUUGUUUUUUCCACAGAAUUAAACCAAUGAAAAAAAAGUGAAAUACAGUGUGCCAUCAAUGAUUAAUCCACAGAUCACCAUAAAUAAAUACAUUUCUUUUUCCUAGCUGCAACAUAUGGUUUUACUAAGUCUUCCCUUGCCAAACCAUGUCCUACUUUUCCCAAUAUUUUAACAUUUUAAUACAUUAAAUCUUGAAAUUCAUUGAAAAAUGCAAGAAUUAAGACACAAACAGAAUGAAGGAAGGAACACAGUUUGAGCUCAUCCACUUAAGGUGUUAUUUUGCUUCUGGAAAAUCAACAAAAAAAUUUCUCAAUAAUAGAAGUUUAACAUCAACUACUAGUCAAAUUAGAUAGAAAAGGACAAAAGAAGCCCUCAAUGAUAGCAGCUAGGAAAAGAAAGCAGCAGUUUUCCACAUUCAGACAAAAUAUAAUAAUUUUGUCAGUAAAACAACUAAAACUAGAGAAAUUUCAGAACAAGAUAAGAAUACAUUGGGGUCCGAGAAUCCUUAUCCAUCACCAGUUUAACUUUUACUACUUCCAUUUAAUGUUCCCCACAAAGUGAUGAGAAUUCACACUAUAAAUUGUUAUUCAACCCUUCAAACUCCCAUCUCUACUUCCAUUUCAUCUGCCAUCAAUUUGCUUUGAAGAUCAUGUUGGCUAUUUUUCACAAGGCAUUUGCUAAUCCACCAGAGGAGCUGAAUAGUCCAGCUUCUCAUAAAUCUACUAAGAAGCCUAAACAGCCUGAAGAAACCCUAAAUGAUUUCCUAUCUCAUCACCCUCACAACACUUUCUCCAUGAGCUUUGGCAACGCCGCUGUUUUGGCUUAUGUCCGCCAUGAACGUGCUGCUUCAGUUCAUCAGAGGUAAAGUUUUGUAUGGAAAAUUAAUUGCUGGUAUUAUUAUGAAAGAAAAGAUAUCAAUAGUUUACAGUUUUGUUUGCAGGUUGUUUUGUGGGUUUGAUGACAUAUACUGCCUCUUCUUAGGGAGCUUGAACAAUCUAUUUAUGCUGAAUAGACAGUAUGGUCUUUCCAAAGGGAGCAAUGAGGCGAUGUUUGUGAUUGAAGCAUAUAGGACACUAAGGGAUAGGGGUCCAUACCCUGCUGAUCAGGUUGUUAAGGAUCUUGAAGGAAGCUUUGCCUUUGUGAUCUAUGACAGCAAGACUGGAACCGUGUUUGCUGCACUGGGGUCUGAUGGUGGAGUGAAGCUGUAUUGGGGAAUUGCAGCUGAUGGCUCUGUGGUCAUAUCUGAUGAUUUAGAUGUCAUUAAAGAAGGGUGUGCCAAAUCCUUUGCUCCUUUCCCAACUGGUACUUCACAGGCUCUUUUUUUUUUUUAAUUUCUGUUUUGGUUGAAUUUAGUUAACCUAAGAAAGGAUUGAUUGGGGAUGUUUGUGUGGGUUGCAGGAUUCAUGUUCCACAGUGAAGGGGGGCUGAUGAGCUUUGAGCAUCCAAUGAACAAAAUCAGGGCAAUGCCGAGGGUAGACAGUGAAGGAGUGAUUUGUGGUGCUAAUUUCAAGGUUGAUGUUUACAGUAGAGUUAAUAGCAUUCCACGAGUGGGCAGUGCAACCAAUUGGACUGAUCACUGGGAUUCCCAUUAAUUAGUAUUUAAAAAGAGGAGAGAGAAGCAAAAUUAAACAUAAGAGAGAUGCCAUGAAUAUGCUCUAGACAAACACUGGGGUUUCUUCUGUUUUUCAUCCUAGUUGUUGGUUUUUCUUUUGGUACUUUUCUAUGUUAUAUGUUGGUUGUGUUGGUUUAAUUUCUUUGGGCUAUUAUAGUUUCAAUCUUAAUUCCAAUUUAGAAAUGUUGUACCCAAUAUCCAAAUCAAUGCGUUUGUGAUCCAAACUGUCCUUUGGUCCCAAUACAUAUUAUGAUUUUCCAAUUUAAACAUUAUCAUUAUUUCACAUCACAAUCAAUUUCAUUUAAUCAUGAUCACACUUCCCACUUGUUUUUUAUUUAUGUACGUACCUUUAGCUUACCUCCAUAAAAUUGUUUAUGACGUGUACCAAAAACAAAAUUGUUCGUCGAGUGUCGAGUGUCGAGUGGCUGUUCAAUUUAUCCACUAAUCAUGGGUUUAAUUUCUGUCCAUAGAAUAUAUUUUAUGACUAGUUAAUUGUAAAGGAUAUGUGAUUUAAAUCACCUUAUUGUUAAGUUUUUUUUUUUUUAAACUUUCGCCUAGGUAACUUCAAUUAAUGGUCGAUGACCAGGACAGAUUAGAAUCUAAUAAUAAGUAGAAUAUAAAUAAGUUAAUUUAAUAGUUAAGUUAAUUUAAUAGUUAAGGUAAAAAAUUAGAAAAAAAAAUUAUUCGAAUUUUAGUUUGUGAUGAUUAAGCUUGUUUCAUAGGAAAGAAAUUAAAUUGUAGAAAAGAAUUGGUGUUUAGAGUGUGAACAUAAAUAGUCAUAUAAUAUUAAUUUUAACAAUUUAAUAAUUUAAUUGAAAAUUUUUAAAUAGUUCGAUAAUUAAAUUAUAAAUUUUUUAAACAAAUGAUUAAAAUAAAAAUUUACUCAUAAUUUAGUAUUAAUAAUAUUUUAAUUCACCCAAAAAAAUGUAAAAAUCUUUUUAAAAUUAAGAAAUAUAUAUAAAAUAAAAGUGAAUCUUAAAAAGAAAAUAAAAAAAGAAUCAAGGAAAAAAAAAAACGCAUGAUUGGCAAUGGGCCAGUAAUACUAUCUUUCAGCCCCCAAUUCCUCACUCGCGCUUCGUUUCGCUUCUUGUAAUUACCACCAAUGCCCGGAAGUGACCCGAUACCCGACCCGGAAACCCUACAACCCGGCAAUGCCAUUGAUCUCGAUGGUGAAGAUUACGAUGACGAUGAAGACGAUGCUAUUGAAGAAGACGAUGAAGAUGAAGAUGAAGAUGAAGACGAAUACGAAGAAGACGAAGAUGAAAACGACGACGUCUUGUUUGAACCCGCCACUCCCCGCGCGGUGAAGCUGAAAAUGGACACACUAGUCCGACGUAUGUUGACCGGCCCCGUUCCGAUUCACGUUCACAACGUGAUCAUCAAAGGGAACACGAAGACCAAAGGCUACAUAAUCGAAACCCAGGCGUCAGAGGCUUUGAAGAAAGCCACCACGAUGCAGGACCUGUUGCGAGCAUCGGACGCUGUGAAUUCGAGGCUGAAAUCCCUCGGUCUCUUCGAUUCGGUUGCGAUCACGCUCGAUUCAGGUCCGCCGGAGAUUCCCGGGAGCGUCAACGUUAUUAUUAAGGUCGAAGAAGCGAGGAAUCGGGUAUCUGGAGAGAUUGGAGCUUAUACGAAUGCUGAGGUACAUUUGCUUAGCUUUUCUUUUGCUGGUGAUUGAGUUAUUGUGAAUAUAUUAAUGUAAUUGGGUAGAAUUUUAGAUGGAUAAGGCGAUAAAAAUUAUUAAAAUUGUUUCUUGCCUUAGAAAAAAAAUGCUUUCCGUUGCAUUUUAAUUGGGAUAAAAGAGCCAAAUUUUGGUCUAAACUAAGGUAGAAGUAAGCUUAAGCUCUUAAAUCUUAAAAUUUAGGUCUUCUGAGUUUGGUGUUGAGAUGUGUUACAGAGAUAAAAUGAGUGUUGCUGCGCCUAAGUAUUACUCAAGAAAAGCACCUCAGACUUAUCCAGGCGAGGCUCUUUCAAUCAGGCGUGUGCCUAGGUGUGCCUUUUUGUAAGGUGAUAGGCGUGUAAAAAAGGCCCGGCUGAUUGAAUUCCUCUUUAAAUCCUUUUAUUUUUCACUGUUUUCAUUUGAUAUUACGUUUACUAGUAAGAAAGGGAUCAUAUCGAACUCUAUACUUCUCAAUGUAUGAGCAUUCAACAACAGACACUGAUUAAAAGGAUAUCAUGUAUAGUGACCAAUAGAAAAACUGCAUGUUUCAUAGAUAAACUAAACCACACUUUAGAGUUUACUAUAUGUCUUAAGCUUUGUAUAUUAUAUAUACACACAGACUUGUAAAAAGUAAACUCACGCAUAUAUGUAUUGCGCUCUACUUCACUCAGGCUAGCACUUUUUGUUGCACCUUGUGCCUGAGGCAAUGUUAGAGUUCUGCUGCCUAGUGCGCUUUGUGGCCUUGACAACACUGUUCAACAGCAAACAUUGACCAUAAGGAAAUCAUGCAUAUUGACCCACAAAAAAAUUGCAUGUUUCAUGGAUAAACUAGAUAACAUUUUAGAGUUUACUAUAUAUCUUAAGUUUUAAAUAUAUACACGCACAGACUUGCAAAAACUCGUACAUAUACGUAUUGUGCUUUACUCCACUCAGGCUAACGCCUUUUUUUUUUUUGUCUUGCACCUGAGGCAAUAUAAGGAUUCUAGCACCUUGUGUGCGCCUUGUGCCGUUGACAACACUUGAAUCUGGAUUUCUGAUUUAGUCUUAUUGUUGAAUUCUUACUUUGUGAUAUGCUCGCUCUUUAGCAUUUUCUUAGCCACUCUAGUUUGGGAAUUCUUAGCUAAUUUAUAUUUGCAGAAGGUUACGAAUAAAAGAAACAUAUGUUAUGGAAUAUAUACAUAUAUUGCUGUAUUUCUGUUUUGUUGAAUUAUAAUUGUCUGAUCUUUUUGUAGGCUAAAUCUUCCUCAGUUGAAGGAUCCAUUAAGUACAAGAAUUUGUUAGGGUUUGGGGAUCUAUGGGAUGGUUCAAUUGCUUACGGUUUUGACCGCACAGCGGAGGUAAGUGCUGGUGUAUAUUUGCCCAGAUUGAAAACGUUGGUAGCUCCUGUGACGGUUCGCGCAUACUUGUUGACCCAAGAUUUGCUGACCUUUUCUUCUUACAAAGAGCGUUCCAUUGGACUUUCUCUUGGCUUAUUUUCGAAUAGAUUUCACAACUUGGAGUACCACCUUGCAUGGCGUAACUUGGUAGAUCCAUCUCAAAUGUCCUCAUCUGUAAAGAUGCAGCUUGGACAUGAUUAUCUUUCAUCCUUGACGUAUACAUUAAAAAUUGACAAGAGAAAUUCUCCUGUGAGGCCAACUAAAGGAUAUGCUUUUAUUGCUAAAACUCAUAUUGGUGGCCUUGCACCUGAUAGUCAAAGCUUAAGAUUCCUGCGCCAGGUUUGAUACUAAGCAUGGACUUCUUAUUGCAGGUUAAGUUGAAUGUAUAUUGUCAUACUGUUAUCAGUUUGGAGUUUAGACUUUGAUGUAGAAUAGCUUUUGUGUGCUAUGUUUUCAUGUGAAGUAGACGGAAGAGUGUUAGGCUUAGGAAUUAUUAUCUAUCCUUGUAUAUGCAUGUUCUUUUAUUUGUGUGCAUGAAUUCCAUAUUUUUAUUCGAAACCUUCAGGAAGCUUAUUUCUAGAAGUGUGAGCAUUAAUGGUGCAAUUGACUGCUAGAUGGAAGUUUAGUGCAAUUGACUGCCAGAUGGAAGUUUACGUAUUGUGGGGCUUUUCUUCUUUAAUGUGCUAAGUUAGUUUAUUUUUAUGAGGAAAUAAUGUCUUAUUUUGUUUCCCUUGAUGUGGAAUACUGGCUUUGCCAUUUAAUCACAGGCAUAAAAGCAUCUUAUCUAAACUCGGCUUAUCUUUCUGGGUCUCUAGUAUCUGAAUUUUGUGUAUGAAUACAAAUGACCAUGUGAAUUUGCCACUGUUUUUCAUGAUUAUAUUUGGUUUCUUUUUGUUGUAGACCUUUCAUGUUAUCAUUGUUGUUAUAUAGACUAGCUGUUAGCUAUUGUACAAUUUUGCUGUCAAUUUACUUCUAUAACUCACCUGAUUUUCUAACAGGAGUUCGAUCUUCGAUGUGCCAUCCCACUUAGAUUUUAUCAUGCAGCUCUUAAUUUUGAGAUUUGUAGUGGUGUUAUUUUUCCAUGGGGGAGUGGGUUCUUAAACAGGACUACAUCCAUACCGGAAAGAUUCUUCUUAGGUGGCAAUCUAUCUCCAGUUUGUGCUUUAGGGGGUCCAAAAGCAUCAUGGGGAUUUAAGACAAGGGCAACGAGUUCCUAUGAACCUAAAAGUCAGAUUGAUGAUGAGAUCGCUGAUGUUGCUAGUAGGGAUUCUCUUGGAGGAAACUUUACUGUUACUGCUCUAGCAGACCUUUCAUUUGACCUUCCAACUAGGUGGUUUAGAGAAAGGGGAAUCCAUGCACAUGUCUUUGCUUAUGCUGGAAAUGUUGCCAUGUUAACAGAGAAUGAGUUCCGAAGUUUCUCCAUGCAGAAGUUCAUAGGCUCAUUCAGAAGUUCAGCUGGAAUUGGCAUUGUCAUUCCUACAAACCGAUUUCGCAUGGAGGUUAAUUUUUUUGGCCCUUUUAUUUAAAAUUUUAAACCUAAGCAGCAGAGAAUUGGAUAGAAAGAAUGGCUUAGAAUUCAAAAUGUGUACAUUUCUAUUAGCCAACUCUUUUAGGUUUUUGAUUGUCAUUUUUGACAUGGUAUAUGUGCUGCUGACAUUCUUGAUUCAUUUGCCAGCUUAAUUAUUGCUACAUACUGAAGAAAUUUGCUAAUGACCAUGCAAAGGCUGGCUUUUGGCUAACCUUCUCUCGGCCAUCGUAGAACGUUGAACUUUUCUGCUAGGUUGGCAUCUGGUAACAUUGGUUGCACACGGUAUUACACUGAAGCCUGCCAUUUGAAGCAGUUAAGUUAUUUGGAGACCUUGGCAGUUCUGCUUCUUCAACAGUUACUCGUGUUUCCCUUUUUUUCCUCAAUAAUGGGAGGGAUUAUAACUGCAUUUCAGUGAUAGAACUGAUAGGUUUGCUUUGGUUACUGAUGACAUGGUUUUCUUUUGGGAGCAUUACUCUUUUCUUUCCUCAUUUGUCCAGAUAUCUUGUUUAUCAUUGUGUAAUCUGACGUUUCGAUGGCCGGUUUGUACGGCUUUGGAUAAUGAUUUUAUGUUGUUGAGCUGAAAACAAAGGAAUAAAUAGAAAGAAUCCCUAUUGUUUUUGCUGUAAAGGUUUUUUUUUUUUUUUUUUUUGAAUGCCAUAAUUUGAUAUUUAUGCUGAAAAUUGAAAUGAAGUGAAUCCAUGUGAAGGUUCUUUAAUGAUAAACACCGCUCACAACAUACACCAUCUAUACCAUACAAUUCACAAUCAUUAGAUUAGAUGAAUUAACUGCUAUUUAAUAAAUUGAAAAUUUUACCUAACUUUUCUUGUUUCUUUUUUGAGUUAAAUUUAACUCUUAAAAAGAAUUGUAUUUUUAAUAAAAAUAUUAAUUAAAACUUGAAUUUUUAAACAUGGUAAUUCAUGUUAAUUUUUAUACGACAAAUAGUAUUAUGUCAUUAUGAAGUACAUGUGAGUGUCAUGAAAAUUAAUGUUUUAGUUAGCAUUUCGGUUAAAAUAAUGAUUCGACACUUUUUGAAAAGUUAAUGAUUAACUAAAUUGACAAAAAAUAUAAACAUCAAGGGAUAAAUUUAUCAUUAUACUAUUAUUUUAUUUUGUAUAGUUUUAAAUAAAAGUUAAAUAUAAAAAUUUGGAUAUCUAAUAAUUUAACAAAUAAAGAAGAGAUAAAUGAUUUCAAAUAUAUUGUUUUAAAUAAAAUUAACUUAACAUUUUUAACCUAUAACAAUCGGCCUACUUAUUUUAUUCAAAAUAUGAGAAAAAAUAUAUAUAUCAAUUAAAAAGCUAAUGGAAUUAUAAGCACAUUUUAAAAAAAAAUUAAAUAUUAAAAAAUUUCAUUAAAUCAAAUACACCCUAAAUCUGUACAGGUUUAAUUGGCAGCCAUGAGGAGGAUAGGCGUCAAUUAAUGUUUCAUAAAAAUGUGAGAAAGAUUAAAAUGCAAAAGAAAAGGAGAAAGGCAAUCAUCUCCUUCACAAGAAAGUUGGUUUUAAUAUUAUGAAUCAAGUGAUUAGUUAAUUAAGUAACAAAAUACUUUUGUUUAAUUAAAGUUUUAAUUCACAUAAGAUUCAAUUAAGUAACAAAAUGUAAUCCUGGAUUUGAUAUUGUAAACAAAUUCAACUUGAAUUGGCUUUAUAUUAUCCAACAAGCUUCCAAUAUUAUUUUCCCAUUUGGUCAUGGCCAUUAAAAGUGUCUGUCCCAAAGCAAUAAAAUUGCUUAUUUAAUCCAUUAGAUGACAAAUGAUUUCAAGGGAGAUUUUUAAUCUCUAUUUUAUAAUUUAAAGGAUUGAUUGAAUUAUUAUCCCUCACUUCAAAUUUUGUUGUGAAAUUAUCAUAAAUUUAAUGGGUUUUGAAUCUAAAAUACCAUACUCUUUUAAUAUUUAAUUUUACCAUUUCAAUUAAAAAUUAAAAAAAAAGUUAUUAACUAUUACUACUAAAGAUUUUAACUUGUAAUUCUUAUUUAGCGACAAUAAAUAAUGUGUAUAUUUUUAUUUUGCAUUAUAAAUCAUUGAAUUUUGAUUUAAUCAAACUAUAUCAUUUAAUUUUAAUUAUUAAUUACUUUCAAUAAAUAAUAUUAAAUUUAAUUUAAUGAAAUAACUAAAUCCACAUUCCUGUUUUGUAUGCUUUUAACAUGUCAAUAAAUUAACCUAAUUGAAAUUUUAAAUAAAAAAUUUUAGAUUUAUUUUUUCAAAGUUCGUUUAGGUGACAAAAGAGAGUUUUUAUUUUGUUUUUUUUCCUCUUAGUGCAGACAACAAGAUUAGGAUAAUUAUUAGAUUAAUAUUAGAUUAGUGUUACUUUAAAAUCAAAAGAAAAUAUUUGAUGCACUGCUAAUUGAAUUUUUAGAUUUCACAAAUAAGGAUGAGGUUAACAAGUGGGGGUAUAAUAAAAUAUUUUUAAAAAAUAAAAUGUAUGACAAUUUUUUUAAGGUUGUCUGUAAAAUAAAAAAAAUACAAUUUAAACCACUAUUAUAAAUAUUUUAAAAUAAAAUAGCAAGAUAAAUCGCUAAAAUAAAAAAAAAUUUCCAAAAUGAAAAAGCGAAGAUAGAUUUAAAGUAAAAUUUAAAAGGGAUAAACAAUGAAAAACAUACGAAAGGACAUUUGAAGUAAAUACUCAUUUUUAUUAUUGAAAAUCCCUUUUCAAUUUUUUUUUUCGAUUUGCAUGCCGUUAUUUCAUUGAGCACAGAGAUUUUAAAUAAAUCUCUUUAAUUUUUCUCGAAAAUCAGGAACAAUGAUUAAAAAUUUUAUAUUUUUAUCAAAAAUCUGAAUAAUUUUCAAUAAAAAUAGUACUUUAUGGGUUUCAAGACCCUUGCACCAAAGAGGUCGUGCGUUUCCGAGUAUUUGAAGGAAAUGAUGCAAGCAAAGGGGCAUGAUGACUUUCUUCCAUUUCUUAUUUUUUGGUAGGGUUUUAUUUUUUUAAAAAGAGGGAGAACGAAUGUUUUUGCUUGUUAGUUCCAGAUAUUAGGUGAGACCAUAAGAAUUGAGAGAACACGAAAGAAGAAAUUAGGAAGAGUUGAAAGAAAUAUAUAUAUUUUUAAAAAUAUUAUUAAAAAAUAAAAUUUCAAUUAUGUAAGAAUAAAUUUAUAAUUAAUUGAAUAAUAAUUUUUAAUCCAGUUUUUUUUUAAGAUUAGAAAUUAUUAUUUAAUUAAUUCAUUAAUUUAUUGACACGUUUAGAAAAAAAAUUAUAAGAAUUUAUAAUUAGUGAAUAAUUUUAUAAUUUUUAUUAGAAAAUUAUCGAGGAAAUAAACAUAAUACAACAAAACGUGAUGCGCUAAUAUACAGUACAUCAACAUUUCUUUUUUGUCUUUCCUUGAAGUUGCCUUACGUUCUUUUUAACCUUUAAUUAUUGUUUAUAAAGUAUUUUAACCCAUACCUAAUACCUUUAAUUAAAAUGUCUCAAAUUUUAAUAAUUCUAGCUACACAUAUUAGCUUUUAUUGUCGUCCGCAAAUAUUUCUUGAUACCAACAUUUUUUAAUAUUGAGAAAUUCUAGGAUGUGUUUGUUUUAAGCUUUUCAAUGUUUAAAAAUUAUUUUAUUUAGGUAAAAGUUUUGAAAUAUUUCAAAAUUUGUAAAUUGUUUUAAAAUGGGAUUUCAGCAACUCAAUUUCUUGGAUGAAUUUCAUUUGUUUAAUAGUUUUUUUUUUUUACUUAUACAAGUUAUGACAAAUCAAAUCUGACUUAUUAUUCACUGUAACGUGUUUAGGUGAAAAUUUAUAUUUGAAUAUGAAGUUUAUAGCAAAACCCAAAACCCUAAAAUGUAAAUCAUAAACCUUAUGCUAAAUCAUAUAACCUAGACUUCUUUAACCUUGCAUCUUAAACAAGUAAUCCAAACCUUUAAAUUAGGAAAAAGAAGAAACCAAAAUACAAAAAAACUUGUACAAUUUGUAGAUCAAACAUGAAUCACAAACCAACUUUUAAAAUUUUAAUAUUUAUAUAAAUUUAUUGAUAACAAAAUUAAUUACCAAAUAUGAUUCAAUUUAAUUAUGGCUCCCCACCGGAUUUUUGGUCUAACUUUUGAUCCCAUUGAAGACAUUGAUACUAGGGCUCCUUUUGUUUGCUUGUAAAAGCUUUUCUGAAAAAUAUUUUUAACCUUUUCCACCAUUUGUUCGGUGGAAAAUAAAUUCCCACCGUAAAAGCUUUUCCAACACACGGGAAAAUGAUGCCUUCUUCUGGGAAAAUGUUUUACACUUUUUUUUUUCCCGGUAAGACAUUUUCCAAUCGAUUUUCCCUUCACAUUCCAACACUCUGCUAAAUCUUCUCCCCUUUCCCUUUCCCUUUCCCUUCCCCUUGGGUUGCAAAUCAGUGCCAUUGUCAGGUACCCUCCUUUAUAUUCUCUCUAGUCUACCCAUUUUUAUCUCUUGGAUGAUUCUGAUCUUUGUUAUCUAUCUUUCUUUCUUUUUUUUUCAAUCUCUUAGCAAAUUUGCAUAACGAUCCAAGAAUUAUUUGUCCUGUUUAAGCAGUACAACUAGUGCAGUAGGAAUUUACAGAUUGCGCCUAUUAUCACCCUCAUUGAUAUGCACUUUUUUUGAGUUGAUCUCCAUUCUUGUUUUUGUUUUUAUCUUUUAAUUCUUUUUCUCGCUAUUCUCAUUUUACUGUAGUUGAUUUGGGUAAAUAUUAUGGUUAGGCUUGAGUGGUGUAAUCCUUACCUAGAAAUCAACAUUUCCUGUAGUUCUUAUAUAAUUGAGAAGCAGAAAGGAAUGAGCAAAGCAUCCUUGGUUUUAGUCUUGCAGAUUCUUGUCAAAUGCCCAUUGACACGCUGCCAUCCAUGACCCAAAGUACGAGAGCAAGUAGGUCUUCCUUUAGCUCUAGCAAUGGGCAUGAAGAAGUUCAUUUUCACAGUGUUGCUUCUAUUUCAAAUGGGGAUGACUAUGAUAUGUGAGCAAAUAAACCUAUGAUAUUUUCUGACCAAUUGUGAUUGUAUAAUAUUUUCAUGUGUGUUUUAUCGUGCACUAAUUGACUUGUAAGAUUGGUUUAUAUGAUGCAAAGUAAUUGCACCUUUGUCUAUUCAGUUGAAGUAUAAUAUUUCACAGAAAUGAUGUAUACAAGAUGGCUGAUUAGGUUGUGAAAAGUUAUAUUGACUUUGUUCACUUCUAAUCUUGGUUUACAGGUUCAUAGGUUGGAGAAUUUGUAUUAUGAAACAUAGGGUUUUGUGAGGAGUAAUGUAAUUUUGUUGUAGGCUAUAUUAAUAUAGAUGUAAUGUAAUUUAGCUAAUGACAAAGAAGAUGGUUCAAAUUUGAACUAGUUUUGCAUAUUCAUUUUGAUUUUAUUAAUAUAGAUGUAAUGUAAUUCAGUUGAUGCCAGAGAAGAUGGUUCAAAUUUGAACUGGUUUUGCAUCUUCAUUUUGAUUCUAUUGGCAAUAAUAGAUGGUCCCAUUUACCUCCUUUUAAAUAGAAUGGAAGAUUAUUUGACCAUUUUUCAACAAAAUUUUAUUUGUUCUCUAAUUGACAUGGAAUCUUUUACUGUGUAUUUUUAGAAUAAAGAACAAACAGAGCCAUUACCAAAGAAGCAUAGGAGAUACUAAGGCCAUUGAAGUUUGGAUUUUAAGUAUACCAUCUUUCAUUGGUCACUAACAACAAGAUGAUAAUGCUAAUACAGGAAUGCUCCUUUCCUUGUGGGCAUAACCUGUGUAUUAAUGGAUUUUUGUAAUUUUUUUUACCUUUUCCUUGUGCAAGUGCCUUGUGUAACAUGGUUAUAUUUAUGUAUGUAUAUGUACAUGUAAAAAAAUUGUGAAUUCAGUCAUAAUGUUGUAGUUUGGUUUACACACUUUGUUUAGUGAACUUAGCUAAACAAUUAAAUGAAAAGAAAAACUCAAAUAUAUGUUUGUUUCAUUUAAAAUAGUUUUUUUUAAAUAGUUUUUUUUUGAAAUAUUUUCAAGAAAGUGAAUUUAGCUAAACAAUUAACAGACAAGAAAAAUUCAAAUGUAUGUUUGUUUCGUUUAAAAUAGCUUUUUUUAAAAUAGUUUUUUUGAAAUAUUUUUAGGAAAUCUACCAAACAAUAGAAAAUAUUUUACACAGAUUCAACCAAACACUAGAAAAUAUUAGCUUUUCCAGAAAAGAAAAUUAUUUUCUAGAAAUUAUUUUCCGGAAGCCAUUUUCAGUCAAACAAACGGAGCCUAGGUGUGGUCUACAUUUCUACAUAAUCCAAUACAUUUUGGUUGACUGAUGUCCCUGAGGUUUAUUUCAUUGUGUAUUCUAAUUGGUUGAGAUCGACUUUUUAAAUCUUCACAUUGUUUCAAUUUUGACACAAUUUGUAAAUCUUAUGUUGUUCUUAACACUCCUCAUAUCAAUAAACUAUGAAUAUAGAAUCAAAUUCUAUAGAAAUUAUCAACAUAUUUUGUGCAAUAGACGUGAACCUUAUUUCGUGCAUCAACAAUAACAAUGUAUAGACAUGGGUAUUGUAGCAGUUAAAAGUGCCUACUAUCGAAACCAUUUUUUUUGAAAAUGGGAGUCCACUUUGUUUGAAAAUGAAAAUUAAAAUGGGAGUCACCACUGAUCUUUAUUAUUUAAGUGUGAUCGAAUCACCUAGAAAUUUGGUCAUUUUAAUAAAAUAUUUGAUUCACUAAAACAACGAUUUUUGGUCUACAAAAAUUAAGAAAAUGGGUUCGGGAGUCGGUUACGUGCGAGGAAGGAUUAGCGCCCUCGUCACUCCCAAAAUUGGUACUUAGUCAAUUAAUUAAUGUCUUAAUGCCGAGAGUUGAAAUUUUAAAAGAGUUUUAAAAAGCACAAUCCCUUCUUUAUUCACGUUCAUACAAAACAGGCUUGAAUUAAGUAGAAACGAGCAUCAAAGGCAUACUCGUCCCAAGAUAGCAAGAUGCCACAUCCUGUAAGUUAGGAUGUGACGUUUGAACCCUCGAGAACAAGUUUGCCUUUAAUUUUUAUCGCAACUUUGUAUACUUUGAAAUUUAAAAGGAUAUUUAGCUAUUUAGGUUUAACAAGAAAAUCGAAACCUCGUAAGUUAGAGUGCGAUUUCUUGAAUUCUCGAAACACGAAAUAUUGCCUUACUUUGAGGAUUUUCCUUUUGAAUAAUAACGAGCAUGACGUUUAACGAUGUGCGUUUAUUUUAUUUGGAAUAAAAAUAAAACGGUCUAUAUUGGAUAAAUACAUUUGAGUUUAAUACGCGAUAUGAUUUAAACGAAAUAAAAUAAAAUGUAAUAUAGAGCAUGGAAUAAUAACACAUGAAUACAAUAUUAUACAAGCGAAUGACAAUAAUAUGAAAAUACAAAUGAACGAAUUAUAAUAUGCAAUGGCAAAAAUCACACAACACAUAUUAUCUAGACAACAAUAAUAAUUAAAGGAAUGAAAUAAAUAACAUUAAGCCAUUUAAAAUGAAUAAUGAAACAAUUUUAAAUAAGUAAUACAUAAAAAAUGUUUAAAAUGGAUACUAUAAAAAAGCAACUUAAAGGAAAGAGUAUAAAACAACUAAAAAUCAUUAAUUUACCAAAUAAUAAAAUAAUAUAUAUAUAUAUAUGGCAACUUAAAAUAAAUAAUUUAAUAAACAAUUUAAAAUGUAUAAAAAGUUUAAGAAAACUAAUAUGUGAAAAAUAAAUUUAAAAUAAUAUAUAUAAAAAAUAUAUAUAAAACAAUUUAAUAUAAGUAAUAUAUGAAAUCUUAAAGUAAAUAAUAAUAGAACGAUUUAAAAUAAGUAAUAUAAAAAACUUAGAAUAAAUAAUAGUUACAAACAGUUUUAUUAAAAAGAAUGAAUAAAUAAAUGAAAAAAAAAGAUUAGGGAUUAGAUUGAAAUCAAACUCAAACUUAGGGUACAAAUUGGAAAUAAAAAAAACUAAAGAGGAUCAAAAUGAGAUGCGCCGAAACAAGUGGGGGACAAAUGGACAAAUAGUCCAAUUUUAGGACACGUGUCUCUUCCCCAUAGCUUGGCGUACUCGAGACUAAAUCGAACUAUGCGAGAAAUAUUUGGGCAAAAUUUAAAAGAAAAUAAAAGGUAAGUAAAAGGACUAAAUUACAGCGUACUGUGAAGGUAGAGGGAUCAAAGGGAAAAUAUCCCAAAAGGGCAAAACGCGCGGAUCCCCUCUGGAGAGGGUGGGUCGCGCGCGGGUAUGCCAAAAACGACGCUGUUUCAACGUUGGUGUCCCAGGUGCAAAACAGCACCGUUUUGCCUUAUUAUUUACGUUAAAAAAUUUCAUUUUUUUUUCAUUUGCUUCUUUUUCUUUAAAAAAGAACAACAAACACCUCCUUUUCCCAUUUCUCUCUUCGGCUAGGGUUUUGAAACCCAUCAUCGCCGCCGCCGUCACGGCGCCACCAUGGGCGGUGGUUGAGGCAGUGCGAGACGGGCUUUCUGGCCCUUUUUUAAGACACCCCCGAAGGCCAUGCCUUCUCAGUCCAAAAAGUGCGGAAGAAAAGGGUCUCUUCCCUCCCUAUUUGAUCCGAUCCCGACGACGGAGGAGAGACCUCCAGCUACGUAACCACAGGCGAUUCCGGUGAGAUCCUCUUCUCUUUCCUUUUAUUUAUUUUAUGCCUUUCUUUUUAGAAAUAAUUUUGUUCAAAAAAUAAAUAAAAAUAAAAGGAAAACAGGAAAUGAAAAGAACAACCAAAAUAAAAAAUCAACCUUGUUAAACUUCUGUUUUUUCUUUUUGAUUUACUCGUGCGCGUAAAAAAGUACAAAUGGGAAGAAUCGAGCUCUUAUAACCGAUUAAGAUGACUAUUCACUUCAUAUUUUUGUUGUUUUUUGCUUGGUUUCUUCUACUGCCUGUGUAUUGCUCUUUGUUUCACAUUUACUUCUUGUUGCAGGUGUCAGAGAGGCGUGGGACGCGUGAAGGGGUGGCGUGCUUGGAGAAAUGGUACUGGUCAGGGGCGUGGUGGCCGAGGGGAGGCCAAACAUUCGGCGGCAGCAUGCUUGGGUGCUAGGGCUACUACUGUUUUAUUUUCUUUGUAAUGGGUUAGGGUUAGCUUUUUAGGUUUUGGGCUGGUAGUUUGGUCUUGAUUGGGCUGUGUUAUUUGUUGUAAUUGCACUCUUAAUUUGGACAUUUUAUUUAUAGGUUUGGGUUUUAAUUUUGUUUUAUUGACCUGAGUCAAAAUUGGUUAUUACACCUACAUUCACAUUGCUCCUUAUUUAGAUUAACUUUAAACGACCUUAGUGGUUACUUAUCAUAUUGGAUCAACUAACUCUUCAACUAUAUAUGUGUUAUUCGAAUGAGAGAAUUCAAUGUCAAGAAGGUAUUGGUAGUGUUCAUAAGAUAUUAAAGUAUUGAGAAUUUGAGUAUCGAAGUUGAAGCCCAUCUUACAAAAGAUUAUGUAGCAAGUUGUUAAUAAUUUUGAUUAUUUAGACUAGGAAAUUUGUCCA